rnacentral:lncRNA from 1 species
GUGUUUUUUUGUUUGUUCGAGUUUGUAAUGAAGUGGUUGUAAUCCUGGCGAGUUGAUGGCUUUGUCAAUUCAAAGCCGGGCUCUCCUUGAAUCUUUGUUCUAAAAAAAUGAGGCCCCUCGGAUGCAUAAGAUAUUUAAGCCUAAUAAUUAGGGGCGCAUUUAAGAUUUUUUUUCUAGAGUAGUGGGGAGGGGUGGGGGGCAAUUGUCCCCUUUGGCCCAUGAAGCUCCGCCACUAUUUCCGGGUGCAUGUGAGAUGGAAAAACAGAAUUGGGUAUCCGAGGGUCCGAUAUCCUUUUUAUCUCAAAAAAGAAAAUCAAACAUUAAAUGGCAGUGGACGCUGCUUGAAAAAACAGUUGGAUUGUCACACACUAGGCCUAUAGGAACGAAAUCUACGUUGAACGAUAGAGGGGUCCCGUGUGACAUGAUUUUAUUUCCAAAGACAAUGGAUUUUUGUUCUCCGAGCACAUAUGCACGAAUAAUAUAAAAUAAAAUAAAAGUAAAAGAGUUCAAAAGAAUCCAAUUUUUAGGAAACAUGGUUGAAUGUGGUACUUACAUGCAAAUUUCCAUGAUGAAUAACCAUUUGUUAUGCUCUGAAUAAAUAAAUAAACGAUGCUCCAACGAGGUUGUUUUCGAAAGCAUUUUGGAGCUGAUUUUAUUGUAUGUGUAUCCAGGCCAGCACUAAUGACAUUCAUUCGUGAAAAUUUACACACAUGUAAAACACUAAGCAAUAUUUGUUGAAAAAAUUCAGUUUCCUUUCCAGAAUUUACUGUUCAUUCAUGACAAGUUCUUAUGAGCUCGGGAGCGGAGUAGCACCUUUUGUUUCGGCAAGCAGAUACUUUCUGGAAACCAAUGAAAGUGAAGGGGAUGAAAAUUGAAGAGAACAUAUGAAGGGGGCAAAGGCGAAUGUCUACUCGUCGGAAAGAGAAAAACGAAAUGCAGAGCAAAGGAAGAUGCAUUACAUUGCCUUUCCAAAGAGAGAGAAAAGUGAAUUAAACAUAGCUUAGAUGCUUAGGUCUUUGUAGUGAAAAUGGUCCAUCUGAGUUCAGUUCAGGUGCUAGACUUGACAUGGGUAAUCGCAUAUUUCGUCGAUUUAUUUCAGAUUUUUCAACGUUAUUUUUCGAAAAGUCUAACGCCCACAUGUGUGGGCGUUCCUCAACUCGCCCACACGCCUGAAUCGUCGUCCAGUGCCUUUUACACGAAUCUUAGCAUGAAAAGGUUGACUUUUGUGCCACGUAGGACUGGGCUGGUGUGUGGGCAUUGGAAAGUUUACCCACACGCCCGCAUCACGCUGUUUGCCAGCUGCGCUGUGUGGGCGAACUAGUUUCUGCUCACACAGCCACCAUCUAGGUCAUGCGCGUGUGGGCGAACUGCUUUUCGCCCACACAACACUCCUAUGUUGUGGACGGCAACUGCAGUUACGCGAACGUGGCAACUCGGUACACACACGGCAACUGUGAUUCUUUGCCACACGGCAACUGCAGUUACGCGAACGUGGCAACUCGGUACACACAACAUGGCAACUAUAAUUCUUUGCUACACGGCAACUGUAGUUGCGCGUACGUGGCAACCAGAUAAACACACAUGGCAACUGUGAUUAACAAUACAUGAUAACUAUGGUUGGACCACACGUGGCAACUAGGUAAACACACAUGGCAACUACUGUUUUGACCAUAUGUGGCAAGUAGUUAAUCACACAGGGCAACUACGAUUUGAUUACACGCGGCAACUACUAUAAAUUAGACACGACAACUAUACUUAACCAAAACAGAAUAGAGUUGCCAUGCUUUUACAACUACACUUGCCAUCCCAGAUAACUAUAUCUGCCAACCAGGAUGGCAACUAAAUCGUCAUCCCGCGGGGUACCUAACGUAGCUGCGUCAGGACGUGUGGGCAUUUUUGCUUCGUGCCACACGCACGGGGUGGAGAUGAGUAGUAUUUGUUGGGCGUGUAGCACGAAGUAGCCGCGCCCACACGUGUGGGCAAUUCCAAUGUCCGCCCACACACAGCCCGUGUGGGCUGCCUCCUGCUCACACCACACACGGUGUGUGGGCGCAUGUCGUAUAUGCCACACGUGUGGCAGUUAACAACGUCUUUAUUUUUUCAUGUUUUAUGAGUUAUGUCUUGCGUCUAUAUUGUGUUUCUAAAAAAGAAAGAGAAAGAGAAAAAUCUUUUCCUCUUCGACAAGAGAGGAAAAGAAGACUUGGGUUGAGUACGGACCGCUUACGGGUGAAAAUCUACGCACUGGACCUACGCACUAAUCCCACCCCUGUUUCUCCCGCCUCUGCUGCUGCUGGAUUUCCUUCCCCUCCUCCGACCCCCGUCGCCCGCGUCCUCCUCCGACUCCAGCCGCCGCCGCCGCAGCCUACCUCCCCUGCCCCGACAUGGACGCCGAGACGGCGCCGGGGACGGUGACGACGGAGGCCCACCGCCCCCCGCAGCCGCGGAUGCCCUACGCCGACGCGGACCGCACCCUCCGCGCGCUCGCCGCCGCCGCCGAGGGCUUCGGCCGCCGCGCCAUCGGGGGCCUCCACGGCACCCUCUACCACGUCACCUCCCUCCAAGGUCCCCUUUUUACCCGCCUUCAGUUUUGCUCCGGAGCCCUGUCAGGAAUCGGGAUUGAUUGAUGGGCGCGCAGACGACGGGCACGGGACGUUGCGGGAGGCGUGCCGAGCCAAGGAGCCGCUGUGGGUCGUCUUCGAGGUGUCCGGCGACAUCCACCUCCACACCUACCUCCGUGUCUCCUCCCACAAGACCAUCGACGGGCGCGGGCAGCGGGUCCGGCUCACCGGCAAGGGGCUCCAGCUCAAGGCUUGCCACCACGUCAUCGUCUGCAACCUCCAGUUCGAGGCCGGCCGCGGGCACGACGUCGACGGCAUCCAGAUCAAGCCCGGCUCCACCAACAUCUGGAUCGACCGCUGCUCCCUCGCCGACUACGACGACGGCCUCAUCGACAUCACGCGACAGAGCACCGACAUCACCGUCUCCAGGUCCUUCCCUCUUUUCUACUGUCCCUCCUGACACCAACUAAAUUUCUGUGUACAACAUCACGCGAUCUUCAGUUCUUCACUCAUUUCGUUUGAUAAUUGUGCUGAUGAACAUGUGCCUGUGUGUGACCGUGCUGCUGCACAGAUGCCACUUUGCAAAGCAUGACAAGACGAUGCUCAUUGGCGCGGACCCAACACACGUCGACGACAGGUGCAUCAGGGUGACCAUCCACCAUUGCUUCUUUGACGGCACGCGGCAGAGGCACCCGCGCCUGCGCUUCGGCAAGGUCCACCUCUACAACAACUACACCAGGGACUGGGGCAUAUACGCCGUCUGCACCGGCGUCGAAGCUUAGGUGACUCAUUUCAUCCGGCAUCUGCUAUUCCGAAUGCUUGCAACUGGCAACACUCACUUGGAGAUGAUCAAUCUGAUGAAAUGAUACCUCCAUUUGCAGAUUGUAUCUCAGUGUAACAUAUACGAAGGAGGGCAUAAGAAGACGGUCUUCAAGUACAUGCCAGAGAAGGUACCUGCAUUCAGAGUUUCAGUCUUUCAGACAAGAUGAGAUGAGACUCUGCAUUUGCAUACAUCCCAGUUUACAGCUAAUAGCUGAAUGCUGCUGCAGGCUGCCGACAGAGAAGAGACGGUGGCCGGGUGGAUCAGGUCGGAGGGCGACGCGUUCCUGCACGGGGCGCUGCCGUGCCUGGUCGAUGGUCCGGGCGCUGAGUAUGUCUUCAGGCCGGAGGAGUACUAUGACAGGUGGACGAUGGAGGCGGCGUCGCCGGCGCUCAAGGAGGUCAUUCAGCUCUGCGCUGGGCGGCAGCCUGUGCCCAGGCCCCCAGACUGCUAGCCCUGUGACUCAUGGAAGUUCAGGUUCAGGCCCAACAACUGCAAACCUGAACGACUGAUCCAUUGGCGUAAUUGUAUGAGAUUUUACUCGCUUAUCCUCUGCUGGAAUUGUAAUAAACUCUUAGCUUGUGAUACGAUUGAUCUUGAGUGAUUAGAGCAUGAAACUGUUGCUCUGUGGAAGAGAGAUUUCACAGUGGAUAGAGGAAGCAAGUGGUUUUUCCUAAUGCAAAUUAGUAUUACCACAAUGGUAAAAAAUUAGAGCACGAAAAAGUUACCCUGCAGAAGAGAGAAUUCACAGUGGUGAGAGGAAGCGAGUGGUCAUUUUUCUGAUGCAAAAUAAAAACAAAGAAGCAAAAGAAGUAGAGCAUGAAAAGGUUAUCGGGUAGAAGACACGAUUUUAUGGUAGAGGAAGCAAUUGGUGAUUUUUUUUUAACGCAAAUUAACAUAUUAAAAAAAACUGCAUUUGAUAGAGGAAGCAGAUGGUAAUUCUAAUGCAAAUUAGUACGUAUCAAAACUUACAUUACAGGAAGCAAUUGGUGAAUUUUUAAAUGGAAAGGUAGUGAUUCCAGUGCAAAUUUAUAGUAUAGGAAGGACACGAAUAGAAAACACAGGAUUUCAAAAAACAAAGGAAUUUGACGGGGUUGCAAAUGCAAAACAGAGGAUUAGAAAACAGAGAAAAACUGCACGCGCAGUCAUUUUUGGAUGAAACACAGGAAAAAUGCCUCAAUCCUACACGCGAAUCAGUGUAAAAAAGAGGUUUGAGUGGAUGUUGAAAUUCCUAUAGGAUUGAGGUGUAGGAAUACGAUCCAUAGCGAACCAACCUGUGGUUGGAUGGUUAAAGAGACAGUGGUAUCCCCAGCCCACUAGGGUUCAAGUCUUGGUGCUCGCAUUAUUCCUGAAUUUAUUUCAGGAUUUCCGGCGAUGCACUUUCAGUGAGAGGAGACGUUCCGAUGAGUACUUAUAGAGGUGAGUGUGUGCGCGUAUGUAUGAGCACUUGCAUAUGUACUGAUGUCCACAAGAAAAGAAGGAAUGCGAUUCAUAGGAAUUUUGGACGUGUCGUUCCUUUGAUCCAAAGGGCUUCCUUAGAAGGAAAAUCGAUGAACUGGAAUCCUCCAAUAUUCCUAUGAAAUCCUUAAAUCCAAAGAGGCUGGCAAUUGGUGAUUGUUAGUUUGUUACCUGAUGCAAAUUAGUGCAUCGGGAGUCGAACCCACGACCUUCCGAUCCGAAGUCAGACACGCUAAUCCACUGCGCUAUGCUGUCACUUGAUGUACUGAAUAUCCCUCCUCAUUACAUAUACCCGGAAAUGAGAAAACUGACGACGGCAACGGCUCACAAUACAUACCACCGCAACCUUGCUUAUGACACCAACAUACCACCAGCUGAUUACUGAACCCAUACUCGAAAAUGCACAUUACCCAGAAGGAAAGAAAUGACUGCUGCCAUAUAUAUAGAUAAUUACAUUCUUUCCCGUCGAUUAUCGUCGCUAUAUAUAGAAUAUAUUACUAGAUACAUGGAACUGGAAUAUUACAUUUGCAUCAGCCACCACUGUCUACCUGGGCUGGCAUAAACAAGCUACAGAGUUUUGCUUUCCACUAACAAUUUUUCAUUCUUAAGCCGAGCAAGACCCAAAAGACUAGCACUACUUUCACAAAUCUCGACAUUUCCUGUGCACGAAAUCACCGAAAUGAACCUCCUUCCUUUUUUUCUUCAAUAAAGGGCGCUUUUAUUAUUUAUCGCAAAAAUGCAGCAUGAAAGCUCCUCCCUUAACCAAAAAGGUCCAGCAGGUACAGGUCAGCUAUGGCCUCCUCCAGGAGAUCCUCACCCAGCAUGCUCCCAAUGUCUUCCACAAUCUCAUCAGUGACAUCCUCGCAGUCCAGCCACCCCACCCCCAUCAGCUUCUCCUCCUGGAAGCACUCCGUCUCGCGCCGCUGCCGGCGCACCCUCUCCCACACCUCCUCCACGAUCCUCUCCCUGUCCCAUUCCAUGCCCAGCCGACACUUCCCCGCCAGCCCCUGCUGACCGCCGCACUGCGUCAGACAGGCGAUCACGUUGGCGAGCAUGUCGUUCGCCAGGUCGAAGAGGAGCCGCCUCUCGGGCCGCGCCCACAGGACGAGCCAUAGUUGCCAUGUUUCCGGUACGGUGGGAACGAGGAACGGAAACGGGGGACGAGAGUCGGGGGCUGGAAAAAAUAAGGUACAGUGGGGGUAUACAUCUCUAGAACGAUUUUUCUAAAGCGGAAACGCGAUCCAAUCAAUUCCGAUACGAUGAAUCCGGUACGGUACCAUGAAACGAGGAAUGUGAAUCUUUACGGAUGCGGGGAGCAACUGGCUGGGAGGGACCGAGGGAGUACUUAUACAUGGAACUGGCUGGGCUGGGAGCAACUGGCUGCAUCGUCGAUUCAUGAAGACUAAAAUACAUCAUCUCCUUCCCAAUGAAAAAUUUAUUAGCAGCCUUGGAGUAAUUGGAGAGCAGAACGAGGAGUUAUUUAGGGGAGUGGAAAAGAACGGGGCAGAGAGUAAAACGAGGAGUUUGUGAUUGAUAUGGCUAACCUUUUGCUUACUCGAUCGAUUCAAGAACCAAGACUGUCGAGUCGCCGAACCUGAAUCGACGAUCCGACUGCGGAAACGCCGAAUCCGCAUCGAAUCUUACCGAAUCGACCCUCGUUCCCGAAUCUGAUUCCGGGUCGAUGAAUCCGGAUCGAGGGACGGCCCACCGUUCCCCGUUUCCGGCUACUAUGGGACGAGCUCGCCGUACUUCCUUUCGAACUCAUCGUACGCGUCGCCGCGCGCUGGGGACCCCGAUGACAGAUAGCGCGCGCCGAGCAGAAGAUCGUGCUCAGAGCUCUGGUUGGCUAGAAAUGUGAGCAUGUCAGACACAUAAGAGAAGUCCCUCUCGUCUUCAUCCCGGAAAGCACGGGACGUUGUCGGCGCGCUUUCGUUGGCUAGCUCGCAGCUCGCGGCGGUUUCAUCGUCGUCGCUGAACAAAGCGAGCUCGGUUUCAUCAUCCCCGUCGCCCGUCGCCUCCAUCUUGAGCAGCCGAAGUUGCAUCCUGAGCCCUGUAGCAGACAAAAGUAAGUCAAGUGAGUGAUGUGGACAGUGACAGGGAAGUGGUUUGGCAGUGUGCGUGUUUCUGCACUUGCCUUGAAGUUCUGCACUUAUUUUCUCAAAACCUCCUGAACAGCAGUCCUCGGCGUCCACGGACGAUCCGAGGACAGACACCGGACUCGGUUGUUCGUCUUCGUUGGAGCUCACGACGGAUACUAAUUCUGUCAGAUGAUCGGAUGGAGCUUCGAUGUCAUCACAUCGAUCGUGCCCAUUCCCCUCGAUCUGAGUGCAGCAGAACUAUAAAUUAAUAAUUCAUAGACCAAACAAAAAUCUUCAGUUUACUGAACAGAGGGGUGGGGAAUCAUAAACCCAUAUGGUAUAUGCAAAGAAUGCUUAGCCAUACUUCAAAGAAACUUGACUCGCAUAAAAUGAACAUUACCUGAGAUGCCGAAUAUCUAGGACUAGGGACAAUAAAAUGGUCAUCUGUUGCGAAUGGGUGCUCUUGGUCCAGCAUCAUGUUCUGUGCAGAAGACUGGGCCUCCCCCUGCCAUUCUGGAACUGCAUGGCUGCUAUCUAAAUGGACAGAAUUUCCACCAUGCACAAGUCUUCCUCCAGUUUCAGAUAGCUCUGACACUGCACCGGUGUAAGCUGGUUCUUCAAAAUUCACAUGGAUCUCGCGUUCGGUCGCCACACUUUGCACUUCAUCCAGAGACUGCACAUCGCUUUCAUCAGAGCGAUAUGUCGAACUUCUGAUUAACGAUUUCCUUGGUCUGUCCUGAUGCAAAUCUUCAGAAUUAUAAGGCCCUGAUCCGGUGACGUUCUCUGCCAUAGAAUAUUCACCAUGCCUGUUACUUGCUUUUCUGCUGCUCGAUUUUGGACUGCCUCGGUUGAUGGAUGAAGUAGAAACAGACUCCAGCCUUGUUAAGCCACAUAUGUUCUCAUCUUUCCAGCCAUCAUUGCUGCUGAUACCAAGAGGAUAGCCACAUGAUCCUGGCAUCACAUCCCUAUGUGACUCACCCUCUGGCCAUGGCCGGCAAGCUGCUGCCCCUGAAGUAAACUUUGAGGUCUCUUUGUCAGACAGAGCAAGCAUGUCCCCAAGUGUGCUGAAUGUAGUAUUAGCAUCUUGAGAUGGAUGUUGAUGUUGCUGGGUCGUCUUCCAUCUGUCGGCUAGGCGUCUCCUUGCUUCCUUCCUAAUUGAUCUCUUAGCUGAAUGUGUCGGUGAAGUACCUGCGCAAGGACCAUCCGGAGCAUCAUGUAGAUCAGAAGAUCUUUGCAAUGCUGCUGAACUUUUUAGCUUAGCCAUCGAUGUCAACAAAGACACCUGCUCAUCCCGGUUGGACGUCCCAAUAUCUGGACUGAGUUUCUGUUUUCCAUUUGCACCUCCCCUGACAGCAGCUGUCUUCAUCUGUGUUGAAACCUCUCGAGCAAUUUCUCUGGACUCCUUUGCUCUCUGGCGCCGUGCAUCGGGAUAUGCUGUGGAGAUCUGAGGCAUGGAUUCUUCUGCUUGCUGCCUUUGAAUGCCAUCAUCUAGGCAUGCUUCAGUCCUUCUGUAACUGGAGCAGAACAUGUCAUUGGUUAUUGGAAAUGCUCCUUCCAUGUUCAGAUUUUUAUCGAGGCAUGGUUUCAAGACAACAAUCCGAGUGGGAGAAACGCGCUUAUCAAUGCUCUCCCUGUAGCUUGACCUAGACGACUUUUGUCUGAAAGAGCCAGUUUCUUCUUUGGGAGCUUCACUAGAAAAGUUACUGUGAGGCUUCCUUGGAGAAUGCUUUGCUUCUUUUGGUGAGUGAAAACACCGCUCAGUGUCAUCUUCUGGUGGAUACACAAUAUCUGCAUCAAUAAACAUACUUCUUCUGGAUGGUUUCAAUAGCGUGAUUCGGUUUACACCAGAGGAUGGAGGGCAACCGAGGCCGGACAGAUCACUCGCGGCAACAUUGUUGGAUUCUUGAAGAAAUUCCAUGAGAGCAUCUUUAUUUGAUACCAGUGCCUCUAGUGCACUAUUGAACUCUUUAGAUCUCUGAAAAGAUUCAUCGGUCGAAAGGCGUUUUGCAUCCAUAAACUUCUGCCUUACAAAAUUAAGGUCAGCAUUGUUAACCCUGUCAUGUCCAGAACAAGUGCUACAGUUUCGGUUCUUCGUUCUGGUGCUCUCCAUUACCUCGAAAACAUCUUUGAAUUCCGGAAUCUCAUCAGUGCUUGCCCUACGUGGAACAUCUCCCGAGAAGGCAUGUCUGUCACUAUAAUUCCCUGAUUUAUCACUGCAACUCCCUGGUGACCUGCCCUGUGAACGGUCCCCGUUACAUGUAUCUUGGCUGUGCACUCCAAGUGAAGGCAUUAUGUCAAGGCCCAUAAGCCUGCCCACAAUACCAGGCGAUGUAUGCCUAGCAGUGACAUUGUUAGAGUACGUAAUGGGCCUAAUGGGCCCGUUAGUCUUAGGAUUAAUUAGAGAUAAGAGUCGCUUGCUUAGGGGUUAAGUAAGCCUUACUUGGGAGUCAAGUAAACCUCUCUAUAUAAAAAGAGGAGAUGUAUCAAUCUAAGGAAGCAAGAAUUAAGAAGGAAAUCCCUUCCCUCUUGCCGGCCGUGGGCAGAAAGGCCCCCGGCCGGCCCUCUCGCGCCCUCCUUCUAGCAGCGCCAUAACAAUUUGGUAUCAGGUAGCUCAGUUCCGAUCAUGUCUUCGUCGCCGCCCACCCCGUCGCUUCCGCUGCCGACCGUCACCACCGCGCCGCUAGCCAUCUACACCGCGCCGCUGCCCUCCCCGUCCACGCCGCUGGUCGCAUCCUCCGGCACCGCCACCGCCCAGAUGCUGGCGCCCUCCACCGCACCACCGUCCAUCGUCUACACUCCGGAGGAGAUCACCGGGGUCCUCAACGACCUCAUCACAGCCGUCCAGGGGAUCCGGCUGUACCUGGCCAGCCCCUACGGGCCGCCGCCGCCCCUGCUGCUGACCGCCACCGCCGGGACGCCGGCCCUGCCAUGGUACUCGCCGCAUCCAGGGGCCUCCACGGCAUUCACUGGGACGCUGCUGCCCCAGCUGCAGCUGCCGCCCGCCGCCGCCCCGCAGUGGCCGCAGUGGCCGGCGCCGGCUCCCGCCGCGCCUCCAGCGCCCAUCGCCGCCCCCGNNNNNNNNNNNNNNNNNNNNNNNNNNNNNNNNNNNNNNNNNNNNNNNNNNNNNNNNNNNNNNNNNNNNNNNNNNNNNNNNNNNNNNNNNNNNNNNNNNNNNNNNNNNNNNNNNNNNNNNNNNNNNNNNNNNNNNNNNNNNNNNNNNNNNNNNNNNNNNNNNNNNNNNNNNNNNNNNNNNNNNNNNNNNNNNNNNNNNCUGCCAUCCAUCGCCACCAACGCCCAGCCCUGGCUGCAGUGGCAGCCGUCGCUCCUGGCGGCCUCCGCCGCGCCCGGCGCUCCGCCGCAGCAGCCGCUACCCGAUGCACCACUGCCGCAGCCGCUGCAGCUGCAGCAGCCACCGCCGGUCAGCUCCGGCCCCGCAUCGACCGCGCCGGCGGGAGUCCCGCUCCACCAAGUCCAGUCCAUGUCGUCGCCGUCACCGCUUCCGUCUUGGAUCGUUACCCGCCACGUGUCGGCGGCGGUGAGGCUGCAGGCUACUGCGCGCGGCCUCCUAGCGCGUCGGCGUGUGCGGGAGAUGCGUGGUCUACAGCUGCCGCUCCUCCAAGUUGCCCUUCGCUGCGCAAAGGACCUCAAUCUCAUCCGCUGCGCCGGGGAUCUUGGGCAUGCGGUUUCCCCCACGGGCAGCGGGCAUGUUGUUUUCCCCGCGGGCAGCGACCUCAAAGUCUGCGACAUCGGCGGUUGGGGGGGCGCACCCCUCCUCGUCAUUCUCCAUCGCAAGCCCUCCACUCUUCCCUGUGCGGUGCAGACCAACAGCCGUCCGGCCGGAAGAAGGCAUGGUGUCACCGACAGCAGCGCACCACGUAGCACCACUGCAUUCCGUCAUCGGCCGCCGCGAGGGCGCCUCUGCUGGUCACUCUUGCGACCACUUCCAGGUGGUCCUACACAUGCACUCCUUUUGUCCAGAUGGUGUCCAUGGGAUCCAGGUGGUUGUACACGUGCACGUCCGACGUGCGGAUGGUGUCCACUUUUUGUUAAGGGGUCCAAAAUAAAGCGUCCCAGUUCAUUUCAGGUUGAGAAUAAUAAAACAAGCCGAGAUGUAAAAGGCUUGUUUUUAGCUGUUAGGUUUGUAUUGCGUCGAGUCAUGGUUAUAAGUUGGUUAGGCUGCAGCUUGAGGAGAAGCUGCAUGUCCAGGUGGGGUGUAGUGUUAGAGUACGUAAUGGGCCUAAUGGGCCCGUUAGUCUUAGGGUUAAUUAGAUAUAAGAGUCGCUUGCUUAGGGGUCAAGUAAGCCUUGCUUGGGAGUCAAGUAAACCUCUCUAUAUAAAGAGAGGAGAUGUAUCAAUCUAAGGAAGCAAGAAUUAAGAAGGAAAUCCCUUCCCUCUUGCCCGGCCGUGGGCAGAAAGGCCCCCGGCCGGCCCUCUCGCGCCCUCCUUCUAGCAGCGCCAUAACAGACAUCUCUAUAGGCAUCAUCGUCUAUUAGCAUUUUCAUUGGGGUGCGACCGGCUCUUUUGGGUGUACAAAGCCUGCUCCCAUCAAACUGAGAAAAAGAAAAAGAAAAAAAGAUCAGAGACUGUUAGUUUGCUCUUGAAAUGAUAUCACACACUGAACUGCAUAGCAAGAAAUGAAGAUAUAGCUUUACUAGCAAAAGAGAACAUAGAAUUGAACCGUGAAAAACUUGACUAACUGGUUCUCUAAUAAAAUGUCAUGCAGACAAAAGCUUAAAAACAAUAGAGCAUUUGACAUGCUUAACCCUUUUUUACAUGCUCAAAUUAAUUACUACAGAACAAAGUACUAACUAAUUCCACCUUUACUUUAAGCUGUGCAAGAGGUUGCCUCAGUUAAGUCAAUUGCUAACUUGCUAUAUGGUUUUCAUAGGCUUAGCUUAUAUUUUUUGCUUUACCUACAUCAUGGUAAAAACUAAAAGGUUUUAAAGAUAAAACCACACCACUCACCAAGGAAUUGGAAUGCAUCCCAGGUUCGCCUCCUUGUUUGCUUGAGGAUCCAACUCCUGAACCAAAGAUAAAGACAACGAUGAAUAAACUCCACAGGGACAGUUCAGGGCGGCAAAAGUAACAAGGCACAUCGCGAUCAUAGGUAACACAGAAGGAAAGGGAGAUUACCAAACUAUGAAUAAAUCUUACUUCCUUCACUCAAGAAGUGGUAGAAAGUUUGUAUGCAGCCUGGGAGAGAUAUUCUAAAUUUCUGAAUCUUUGCCUGAUCAUGGUUUUGCUGAAUAUGUUAUACUCCAUAUGUUCUAUCAUGGCAUUAACGAUGAAUCCAAGUCUAUUCUUGAUUUGAGUGCAGGUGGGCAAUUCAUGGCUCUAACUCUUAAUAAGGAAAAGCACUCAUCGAAAGAAUUAUGACUGCUAAGGAACAAUAGAAUAUUGAGGAACCAUUGAGCAUACUGGAAAAUUCUAUCAUGUUGAAGACAUGAAGGAAUUUAAGAAGGUUACUCAAGAAAAAGGUAAACCUAUUGAAUAAGUCAUUAAUGAAAAAAAAAAUAGACACAUUUAGUAUUUGUCAGCAGGAAGGCGAGCUCAAGGAGACGAUGAAUAAAUUUAAGCAUCACCAAGAGAAUUUCAACCGAGAUCUUCAAAGGUGCAUUCAUCAUAAUGAAAUGGUUAUAUAUUAUCUCUCUGAAGAAGUAGAUGGGUUGAGUCAUGCUGUGAAUAAUCUUGAUAAACAUUCCGCAUGAUAAAAAUCCAAUGCUCGUAAAUAUCUAAAACUCGCCCAACUUUAGAAAGAUAAUCUUGUUUCUUCUAACUGGAUUGACACUCGAAGUGGUAAAUGAUGCAGGACCCAAAGGACCUGAAUGGUAUGAGAGGGAACAAGCAUUGAAGAGGAGAGAAAGUCAGAGUCAAACUCAAGAAGACUCGUCAACAACGACCCAGGCCAAGAAGAGCCAGUCCAACAAGAUGCGCAAGAUAAUGAAGCAUAAGGAGAGAAUAACAAAGAAGUUGAUUCUGACGCAAAAAGACGUCGAUGGAAACAAUGAUAAUGACGAACAAGAGGCUACCCCAGCAUCGAUGUUUAUUGCAAACGUGUCCCAAGCAGAAAAUCUACUGUUUCUUGAAUCCAGAAUCAUUUUUUUUCCUUUGAAAACACCUCCCCAUAUAUUAAUCAAUUAACAAGUUCUUACAAUCGUUCAUUACAGAAUCAGCCACGCAGGGCGGACACCAUUACAGAAUCAUUGAUUUUGGACCCACAUUCAUACACAAACAAAGAUAAAACAAAUUUAUUUUCUUUCUGCAGCUGCAUGUCCGUUAAUGCUGCACUGCACCUGCACGGACGAUCUAGAGUUCUAGACCGUUUGGGUUUGGUACAACAACUGUAACAACACUAGUGGUUGGGGCGUGCCAUUGGCACGCCUCCUGAGUGUUCAUGUGCGCACUUGUCAGCCUACGCACGUCCGUUGGUCCAGCUUAAUCCUUGAUGACAUUUAUACACAGCCAAAGUGAUUUGACUACAGAUGAACAUGCAAAGAUUGACUAUAGAUGAAUAUGCAAAUCUUUGCUGACUUUAACCUCCCGAUUUGUUCCAUAAUUUAUUACAAACUUGCUAUUAUGAGGAUGACAUGUGCUUCUUUGCCGUCCAGUGCGCACCAAUCUUGUCAAUACAAGUGCAGUAGGAAAGUGUUGAGUCGUCAGGCAUAGCAAGGUAAUAGGUCUAUAUUAAGAGAUAGUGGAAGUCUUACAAGGUGGAUGAUAUAGCACACCCUGCGAACCGACAAUUACACUUCAUGUAAGCACAAUUCAAUCAUGUUCAUAGGUGUGUGCAUGAAAAAAAAGAUGGUCUUGUUGAAUACUAAAUGACAUGAGUUCAUUCUGUACGAAAUGAAUACUAAAUAAAUGAAUUCUGAAGUGUGUCCAGAAAAGCAUUUUCACAUCUUUGACAAUUCGAAAUGAGUUCAUUGUAGCCACCGGGGCGGGCCUGUUGGGCCUCUUCAAACUUCCCAUAUCCCAGGAUUCAGGACCAGUGAGCUUUUUGGUUGUUGAUAUAAUUAUACACCUAAAUAAUUUACAGUGAACUAAUGAAUAAGUGGUGUACAUAUGUAACCUUGACAUCACAACCUAAUAAAAAAAUAAAUCAGUGAGAUGAUAUAUGAACCUGAAAAAAAAAGAACAAAAGGUCAGGACAUACAUAUAUGUGUUAAUACGUAUACAUCAAACUUUCAUUGGUUAGAUAUAUUAUGAAGCAAUUCAUAUCAACAAAUGGACCUCCAAACCAAAAGAGGAACUUCUUCAUGAUGCGAGUGAAUAUACUUGACUAUAUCUACCAAAAUCCAAAUGGACGAGUUGGGUAAGAGCUCUGAUAUAAAGUAGAAAUCCAUGAUUUUGACUCCAUUUUCCAUAUGCUAUCUUUUGGACGAGUUUGGUUAUAUAUACAUGAAUCAGGAAAACUUGUGUCUAUAUAUAUGGCAACUUUACAUUAAACCAAACAUGCCCCCUAGGCAAUUCCAGAACUCCUUUCUAACUACAAAGUUCAUCUAGACAUAACACAAAACAUUGAAUACUUCAUCAUUGCCAUUUGAUGUAGAUGAUUGCAAACUAAGUGGGGAGUUGCAAACCAAACUAUUGUGUUCAUUUAAUUUUGAAACCUGUUCCUAAAUGUACAUAUCUUGAAAAAAACAAAUGCACUAAUAAGAGUGGUACUAUGCUGGUGAAAAAUAAACAGAAGGCUACUCAUGUGCAUCAUAUCCCACAAUUAAUUUAUGAUGCUGGCGCAGCUGUAAGAAAACAGCUAGAUAUGCAGAGGGUACAAGCACAACAUGGCUUGGACAUGUGGUGACCUAAUCUACCUUAGCUAGUAGCAAUGGUGCUGCACGGUGUUAAGUGCAAACUUCUUCUGAAUGGGCCUUGCUUAUUCAGUGUUUUUAAUUAUUGUGCAGACUUUAAUCCUAAUUUAACGGACCUCAUCUGGCUCUCAAAUGAAAUGUACUACAACUCAAAGAGCAGCAGCUUUCUUUGCUUCAGCCUUCCACUCUAACAAAUCAAGUGCCCAUUCAAUCUGCAGGCUGCAGUUUCAAAUAAUCACAAGGCAAAACAAGCACAAGAGAGUAGCCUGAACCCUGCAAGCCAAAUUGUAUUCCUCACAUCUGAACCCACAGUGUCUUGAACAAUGUUCAGCAUCACCAGUGCAGACGUAUCAUAUCAAACAGAUCGUCCAAAUUCUAAACAUUAACAAAUUCAGUUUUCGUUGCUCCCACCGAAUAUACGGCCUUAAUACCGACAGAGUUGCAUAAAGUAAGAAACGCAAAGACAUGAAAGCAAUACCUCUCGCCUUUGAGGUUGUCGUAGACGCCGCCGUCAUCCCCAAGAUCCUCCUUCGAUGUUCCGCUCGCUUAAGCUCUGAAAACAACACGCACCAUAGUACAUAGAGGAAACACAACAUUAAGCAGUCAGCAGUCCAUAACUACCAUAUACACAUCGAAUCCGAUCCGACGAAGCAAGAAAGAUCCAAAAUCUACUCACCGUGUCGUGAUUGUCCUGGUUGAUCAGGAGUCCAGGAAGGCUUCCCCGAGCUGGCUUUGGCACAUGAGCGAAUCCUGAGGCAGAGAAACACCAGAAGAAACAGAUCAUCACCAUGCCAAUCAAAAAUGAGAGGUCUAGUGAAGAUCAAAGAAACACCACAACAACCUAAUCGACUAUAUCUCUUCUUUAAUAAUUUCUUUUCUUCUUUGUAAUUCUAAUUAGUCAACAUGGCAGAAGGAUUUAUCCCUAUUUAAAUCUUACAUUAAUGUCUAAAUUUAUGGUGUGGCAUAUAUGUUAAUACCCCCAGCCUAAAAUCUGAGAAGAGCAAAAACAAAAAAACUGAGAAGUUCCCUUGGUUAUUCUAAGUUUCCGUUGAACUGGCGAAAUCAUCUGUAGGCAGUUCAAGUUUUACGCCACAUACAAGAACUGAACGUCCUCGGACACCUCACAAAUGUAGGACAAGUCAGGCAAGCAACAAUAUAUUGAGAAUGAAAAAUAUGCUUAUCGAUACAUGAGUUGAGAAACCAAUCAUAUACCUUCAUAUUUAACAACGCAAUUAUCCAAGAAAGAUGUUAAGCCUGGAGAGCUCUUCAACUGAAUGAAAAACAGCAAGUCUGCAUAUCAAUUAACAACAGAAGAGACAGUUUGUUAGGAAAUCCAGCAGUAAACAAAAAAACAUGCUGCUAAUUCUUAAUAUCAUAAACCUGUAAGAUUGUACACACGAAGUCAUGUCAGUCAUUCUUACACCAAAUCAGUAUACCACCGCCAUAGUACUACACCGUCUAAUUACCUAUACAAUUAACAGACUAAAUAAAACCAUUUCAACAUGAAUUAGAAAAACCAUACAGAACUAAUUAAGGGAUAUUUAAAGUGUAAAUGCAGGUACAUACAUCUGCUUAUAGAAGUCUCUAUUAAUCUAAGCUUCUAUAUAUUAACAAAUAUAUUUCUUCAAGUCAGAGGCAGAAAAAAAGAGAACACUCAUUCAGUUACCAUUUUCUAACCUAUACAUCCUCACUCCUCUUCCACGAAAAGCAUGCUAACUGAAUAAUAUUAGUACUCCCUGUCAUAAGAAUGAUAUUAGUUAGACACCAAGAAAUGUCAGGUUGCUGGAUUAGUUCAAAGGACACUUUAGACAGCCAAAAUAACAAUAGCACGCACACACCAGAUUCCUCACUGUUUUUGCGUGGCUGACUGGCUGUGGAGAAGGUUAUAGAGGAUUGUGUGAUCUCACCUGAGAGGACCUCCCUUUGCCGUGCACGACGAAGAGGGGUGUGGAAGGAGGCGGCUGCGUGCCUGCGUGUGACGAAGAUGUUGCGGGGAUGGAGGCGGCAGCGUUGGGACACCACCAAUGCAGCCCCCUUCUGCAGUUCUGCCACUUUGUGGAUGCCGCCGCGUGUUCCCUCCGCUUAUGAUCAGGAACAUGAGGGGGGAAGAACAGACGAUGCCCGGCGGAAGUGUGUCUGUCUUCCACAUAUUCCUCGGCGUUGACCAGAAACGAGGGGGGGGAGGGGGAGAUGUGAUGGCUGGUGCUGGUCGGUGAUGCUCUCCCAUCCGCCGCUGCAGCUCCCUCUCCUCGUUCCUCUCUUUCUCCCUCCUCUCCUUCGUUCUCUCUCUCUCCUGAAGGGACCGGUCAUGGACGUGGAGAUGAGAGAGGUGGCGUGGAGAUGAGGACAUGGACGUGGGACUCGAUCCUUUGUGUGGCAGCGGCUAGCGUCGCGGUCGAUGGCGCCACUGCCGCCCACCUCCAUGGAUCCAGAUUGAGAAAAGAAAGGGGAAGGAGAUAGGUCCCAUAGAGGGGGAGGGAGGCUGGGAUGGGGAGAUGAGGCGGCGACGUGUUGGGGUCGAGGGCUCGGGACGGGAGAUGAAGCACGAGCGCCGGUGAGGGCCGUGGCGGAGGGAACCCUAGCUGGGAGAAGACAACGAGGGGUGCGAGCGUUUUGUCUCUGUCCUCCCUAGACAAAGUAAAACGUGAUAGUAAAACCUGCGGACGUGGCACUUGUGAGCGGGCGCCCAUGCCGCGACCGUUAAUGGGUUGUAUGAGCAAACAAACAGGGACGUAAGGUAUAGAUCACAUGCGUCCUCGGCUCUCUCAUGCCUUGCCAUCCCUUUCUCAUGCUUAACUACUAAUCUGCAUCCACGUACAGUGCUAAUAAGGGAGAUGCAUUUGUGCCAGUCAGAGAGGUGGAUCUAUCAAACUUGCCAAACCGACACCGGCCCACCCACCAGACACAGACGUCUGCUAGUCCUCCAAAAAAGAAGACUUGGCAUCAGUGACAUUUGUUAAAACUAAAUAACUCUUGUGGUUAUUAGGGAAUAAUCCCCGCUCCUUCCUACAUGUGCGGUUGCACACUUCCAGCAACCGUCACGGCGGUUCCUGGAAUGGCAUCUCUAGCUACAUUGCUAGAGGCAGUCACGAAGUCCCUCAAGACGGGUACUUGCUAGUGCUGCUCCGGCCCCGGUAAACUUGGACCCGCGUCUCUCCGGUGUCCAUGGCUACCGGUAUCCUUUGCCGGGUGGCUCCGGCCUCGAGAACCCAGCAGCUGCGUCCCUUCCAGCUCGCCUGGCUCCUCGACGUCUCGACGGCUAUGGCCACGGCAGCUCGGAUCUGCGUACCUCCAGUCCUAGCUUGCCUGCGUUGUUGUUCGCCGUCGCCCCACCCUCUCGUGGUUUACUUCACCGCCUGCCCUACCUUGUACACUUCAAAGCCUUCCCUUUUUGCCAGAUCCAAUGCUCGUGGAUCCGGAGGAGGUGCCACCCUCCGACGGCAGGUGCAGCCCUCCAACCCCCUUCCGACAUGGCGGCUCCGAUCAGCGUUGGCUUCCUCAUCCUCGUUUCCAGAUUCGGCGGCUAUGAGAUUGCUCAGCCUCAGGCCAGGGAGAAAUCCCUGCUUCGUUUGCCGAUGCUGGCAACGGCGGCGUCUGCGGAUGUCGUUUCCUCCUUGGAGGCGUUGUCAAGGCCCUCGGUUGUGCCCCUCUUCGAGCUCAGGGGAAACCCUAGGUCCGGUUCCGCCGGACCGGAUGGCGACGGUGUCUCGGCGUUGUAUUUCUUCUUGAAGGCGCCAUCUUGCUUGCUCGCGGUGUCCCCGGCAAUGAAAAAAAUAGCGUGCUACAACAAUAUAGCGCCGACCUCAAAAUAUGCUAUUAGCGUGCUAUAUCGUGCUAUAGCAUGCUAUUAGCGAGACGUUGUACACUGAUAUAUUUAGCGAGACAAUUCUCAAUAUGCUAUAGCGUGCUAUUAGCGAUGUUAUAGCGUGCUAUUUUUUACAGUGGUCCCCGGUCUUGGCUCCGGCGAUGUUGGUGACCUUGUUAGUUCGAGUUUGCCGCUCUUUGUUUGGGUUUGGUAGGUUUAGCUGUGUUGUAUCUUCUCUUCGGGCUGAGCAUCCCUUGUCUUUCUGCUUCGGACACCAUGUGCACACCUGUCUGCGUUCGUGUCAUGUGUUGUACCCUUAUUUGUACUUAUUCUGCUCCUUCUAUCAAUGCAAUGAUACGCAAGCUUUGCAUAUCAGCGAAAAAAGGAAUGGCAUCUCUACGGACCAUCGUGUCCCUCGGAGGAAACUGUUCCCAUUGUAUAUAAGUGCUCAUUCAUCAUCAAUAAAGGAUUGUUCGAAUCAUUUGUUCCCUUGUCUCUCUCGAUACAAUUCUAUUCAUCACACGUUAUCAGCACGCUCUCCGGCGAGAGCAAUUCCGACGAGAAGACAAGGAGAACAAGGAAAAGGUGAGAAGCGGAACCAUGCCUCAAGUUCCGAUGUCCCUGUUUCUUCGCCUCCUUCGCGUCGAUGGCCGUGGCCGCCGCUUCCAGCAUCGUGUGCGCGACCUCCGCCGCUUCCGGCCGAUGGGGGCAUCGACCCGGCGCUGGCGGCUCUGCCGCCGCCGUUCUGGUGCUCGGUGAUGGCUGGGUAGUAUGCCCCCUGCACCAGUAUGACUUUCCCGUCAUGGAUCCGCCGCUGCAGCCUCCGACCCCAGCGGUUGUUGAAGCAGAGGCCGGCGUGCCGCUCCAGAGGUUUCCUCUCCAUAAGACUAGGCUUAGGACCUGUUACUGGAUGGCUCUUGUCUCGGUCAGGGGCAGCCUGUCCGGUGACAUGAGAAGACGUAGCUUGCUCCUUGCCUUUGAUUGCUGCGCUUGUUACCGGCUUUUCAGGAAUUCGAGCACCCGUUGUUCUUUCUACUGGCUCUUGUUGAUGUCGAGCGCAAUCCUCUUGGGCAUGGCUAGCUUCGCCUUUUUCCCUACCAAGAUGAGCAUCAUCAUCUCGCUGAGCACGAUGAUCGUCGUGCGCACCGCUUGUGCUGGGCGCAUUGGCCGCUUCAUCAGCUCGAGGAGCCUUGGAUGGAUCUUGCCCAAGCUCGCCUAAAAUCUCACGCGCCGUCGACUCCCCUACUGCAUCAACCAACAAAAUCGCGUUAAUGGGGAUGUAAUUUUUUCUAGCUAUCUCAAAACGAGAUCAGAACGGAGGAGGUUUGCUCAACAUGAUCCAUGUAAAUUCUGAGAUUGGAAAUUCUCAAGGAGAUCUGUGGAUAGGAAGGGAAGGGACUGCGGCGCUCACCGAGCCGGCGAAGCUUCUUGCGCUUGUCCUGGUCGGCGUUGGCCCACGUGUCAAGCGCUCCGGCGCCAGCGAUCCGGUCGGCCUCGAGCUCGAGCUCGGAGGGAGGCAGGCUCUCCCACUCGGCGUCGACGAGGCGCCUGAGGGCGGCCACGUCGUUGCGGACGACGGCGAGGUGGUCGGGGAAGCAGGCCGCGACGCCAGGGUCGGCGAGUACGUCGCGGGCCUUGCGGAGGACCUCGCCGGAGUCAGUCAAAGGUAUGUGAUUAUCUGGUGCCCACCUCCAUUUCGUACCCAAGAUUUGCUUUAGGUGGCUGCAUUUUGUGGAACCACCUGCAAAAAACACAUAUCAUAAGUACCUACAAAAGAUUCUUUGUAAGAAAAACGAAAGUCAGAUGCAUCAUGUACAAACAGAGAGGCUAAAAAAUGCAAAAGAUAUUCAUACUGAAACACAUUGAGUUAAUUUGCAUUUUCAGGUACCUAAAAUUGCACAUCAUUCUCAGCAGCGAGAAAUACGGAGAGAAUGCAGAUAGAAGUCAUGACAGCAAGGUAAAAGCACAAAAAGUUUCUAGCAGUUUUAUUUAUGAAUGUUGUUAAACAAUUUGCAUACAAAAAUUGCACGUGCUCAAAAAUUUGAGUCAAAGCAACAAACAUAUCCAGCCGCUUAUAACAUCAUUUAAUGGAAUUUUUGAGGUUAGUUUUUAUUCAUUUUGCAAAAAUUGAUGAGACAACGAACUAAGAUGGUGAAAAAUGCUUUAUGACAGGAUGCACUUUUGGGACAAAACUUUGCUCGACAACAGGACCUUCGCCCCAUUCCUAGACAGAACGAAUCAAGUCAACAGGUGCACUACGACAGCGCCAGAAGCAUAUAAAACAAAAGCAUUACAUUUAAAACAAAAGCAUUUCUAGGGUUUUACAUUUAAAAACCCUAGAAAAGCACACUAAAAUAUUGUUUUGCAUACAAGAAUUGAUAUUUAUUCAUUCUCAAAUAUUCUUUUGUUUGUUGCAGGAAUCAGAUUCAAUCCAUUUAGGAAACCAAAGUUUGCAUACAAGAAAUGACAUGCUAGUACCACAAGGACCGGCACAAUCUUACACAGAGCUAAUGCAACAAAUGACAGUCAUGAGUCAUCUACAAAGCGACAACAUGGCGAUACCUAUAAGCAGUUUCACAUCAUUCUUGACUGCAGGCAUAAAUUCUGAGGUAUGUUGUAUUACUGCAAUCAAGAAUUUAAUAAAACAUUAGAAUGAAAUUACAUACACUAGUCAAUAAAAUCUAACAAAAAAACUUAAUGUAUCAGCAUCAAGCAGCAGGACCGAGUGCAAGAAGAAAUUGGCAACAACUUAAUGAUUGGGGACAAUAUUCUGUACCUUUAGACGACGACCAUGAAGAUGAUGAUGAAAUUAACAAUGAAGAUGAAGCAAAUCACAGUGAGACUGAAUCUGAUGGUGAGCAUGAAGACGAUGAUGAAGGUAAGAAUGAAGAUGAAGCAAAUCACAGUGAGAGUGAAUCUAAUGGUCAACAUGAAGAUGAUGAUGAAGGUAACAAUAAACAUGAAGCAAAUCAUAGUGAGACUGAAUCUGAUGGUGAGCAUGAAUUUGACUGCAACAAUGAUGAGAAUGGAGGUUAUCCAGAUGAAGCUUACACAGAAUGCACUAGUGAUCAAAAUGAAACUGAUGCGGAGGAAGAUUACCUCGAACAAAAUAUGUUUUCCCCUGGUCAGUUGUUGCUGGAACACCAGCAUUCAGAGUUGCAAGAGUUGGAGCAAAGUUGGAACUAUAAGGAUUCAGUCAUUGAGCAGAAAAUGAUGACAACUGAUCAAGAAGUAAAAGCAAGGAGCUCUGAAGAAGCAUUGCAAGGCCCUGAUUAUGCAGAAACAACAGAUACAGAUGGCACUAGUGGCAGCGAUGAUUCAGAGUUUGAAGCAGAGCAGCUAAAAGAGGUGGAACAAGUAACAGAAAACUAUGAAAUAGAUAGCAGUGCUGGUUAUGCACAAUCAAAUGAAGAGGGUCAGAAUGAAAUUGUUAGUCCAUCAGGUAAGGAAAAAAAUGCAGGAACUAGUAAUAAGCAGAUGAAAGAUGAAAACAAGUUAUCUCAGGAAGAUAUAGAAUUUUUUCCUUGAGAAUGGCAGUAUUAAAAAGGCAAUUAAAUUAAGCCAAGAAGAUGAGAAAAACACAUGCCAGCUAUUGGCAUGACAUUUGAAAGUGAUGGUCAUGCACACCGAUUCUACAAUGAAUAUUCAGCUAUUGCUAGGUUCUCAAUUCAGAAAGCUGCAAACUAUCACUGCCAGAAAAAAGAUGCACACAACAACAAAAUGACGAGGUUCACUAUGAAGUGUAACAGAUCUGGUAAACUUAGGAUAAGGACAAAACCAACAGCUGUAGGAGCAAAUGCACCAACUGAGCUAGAGAAUACGACAGACAGAAGAAGAAACUACACAAUUAAAACAGGCUGUCAAGCUCAGAUGGUUGUCACCUGGAAAUUUGAUAUAGAACAGUGGGUGGUGGCAAGGCUUAUCAUUGAGCACAACCAUGAUCUGCAUCCACCAGGGGAAGUCAGGUUCCUUAGGUCACACAAAUAUAUCAUUGACCAAGAGAAGGACUUAAUCAGAACUUGCAAACGGGUGAACAUACCAACUAGAAAAAUAAUGUCAAUAAUGGCGUUCUUUCGAGGAAGAGGGCUUUCUUCAUUGCCAUAUACAGCAAAACAGAUUAGCAACAUGGGCACGAAAAUGAGAAGAAAUAACGGCUUGAAUGACAUGAUGCAGGUGGUCUCAUUUUUUGAACAAAAAAAAUCAGAAGACCCUUUGUUCUUCUACUCAUUCAAAACAGAUCCAGCUAAGAAUGUCAUGCAUAUAUUUUGGGCAGAUGGCACUGGUAUAAGGAACUAUCAACAAUAUGGUGAUGUCCUCAGUUUUGACACAACUUACAAAACAAACAAAUACAAUCUGAAGUUUGCUCCUUUUGUGGGUGUAAAUGAACACGGAGACAACUGCCUCUUCGCAUGUGGUUUCAAACAAGAUGAGAAGAAGGAAACUUUUGAGUGGUUAUACAAAACUUUUCUAAAGUGCAUGGGAGGGAAAGCUCCAAAAUCUGUGAUAACAGAUCAAGAUGCAGCAAUGAAAAAGGCAGUGCCUAAGUGUUUUCCUAGUUGCACGCACAGGAACUGUUUGUUCCACAUUCUAACAAAAGCGCAGAACAAAGCUAGAAGAAUAUUUGCAAGGAACCAGCAUUUGAAUGCCCAGUUUCAUGACAUAAUCCUAAACUCACAAACAGCCGACGAGUUCGAGGAACUCUGGCCAAAGAUGAUUCAACAACACAAUGUUCAACAUAUCAAGUACAUUGGAAUUAUGUGGAAAAACAGAAAGAGAUUUGUACCUGCGUACUUCAAAAAUGACUUUUUUCCAUUCAUCCAGACAACAACAAGAAGUGAAGGAACAAAUGUUGUAUUCAAAGCAAAUGUAGGGUCAAGUCAUAGUGUGAUUGCUUUCAUGACAGAGUUUGACAGGAUAUCACAAAGUAUUGAAGAAAAAAGAAAAUAAAAUGAUUCAGUAACAAGGAGAACUUCUCCAACUAUGUGGAGUGACUGGGCAUUGGAAAAGCAAGCAACAAAACUAUAUAACAGAGGCAUAUUCUACAAAUUUCAGCAAGAGUUAAUGAAUUCAACAAAGUUUCACAUGAUGAAGUGGAAAGAACAAACAGUAUGAGGUGUACAAGUCACCGACUCAAGCAUUGUUUGACUAUAACUCAAGAACAUUCAUAGUGGUUCUUGACAUAGAUUCUGAAAUUGUUUCAUAUGUGUGUGGGAAAUUUGAGAAGGAUGGCAUUCUGUGUUGUCAUGCACUCAAAGUCAUACAAGCAUUGAACAUUCAUGAGUUACCAGAAAAGUAUUUCAUUGAUAGAUGGAGACCUAAAGAAAAAAGAGCAUUUCAAGCUAAUGAAGAAGAUGCAAACCUUGAAGAUUUGGAUGAGCAAAUGGCAUUCUUCUCAUUUUCAAGAAGGCUAGUUCAACUAGCAUCGGAGGCAUCAAAAAAUCCUGCAAGGAGGAAAGUGUUAAACGAGCAGAUAGGAAAUAUGGAGAAGUUAAUUUUAGACAUACCUUGCAUGCUAGAAUUGGAGAAAUCAAAAUGUUCUGCUUCAGAUUUAACUGUUGUCACUAGGGAAGUCUUGAGUUCAGACAGCAAGGGUGAGAAUACUCUAAAUGGUCCAAUAUGCAGCAAACCAAAAGGGAGAAUGAAGAAAACAGGGAGGCAGAAAAGUAUAGUAGAAGAAAUCAUAUCAAAGCCUAAAUUGACUCUUUCGAGGUGCAAGAAACAAGGACACAACAUUACAGGGUGCAAGCAAAUAGAACAAGAAUCGCCAGCAAAACCUAAAAAAUCUGGUAAAAAUAACAAACAUUGAUUCAAUUAGUUAUUGCAAUUUUUAUGAACAAUUUAGUGUUCAUUUUAAUUUUGUAAAUUUAAAUCUUCAGCCAGCAAAAAGAUUGCAAAGCAAAGUAAAGAGAAGACAGCAAAACAAAAAUAGAUGAAAAGGUUAGAAAAAAUAUGAAACGAACAUCAUUUUAGAAACUUCUUCCGAAAAAAGAAAUAACUAUUCAUUGUUACUAAUUGCAUACUCUUUUUGUCUAUUGAAAAAAGGCAAGGAGUACUACACAUUCAUGCAAUGAGGAAAGAAGAAGAAAAGGGAUCCUCAUGGCAUGAAGAAACAUGAUUGCAAAGCAAAAAGUGAAGAUUUUUGAAAAGAAGAUCAACAACAGAAGCAUUUGUUAUUGUGCCCAAAAAUUUGCAUAAUUUUUGUAUGAAAUGAUGGAUAUGUAAUUUAAGUACUCUCAAAUGAUUUCUACUAUUUUUACUUGUUUACUGAAUAAUUGCUUACUAAAUUCAGGAAGGCAAAAGGAAGAAUUAUAAUGGGUAUGAGAUGACAUAUGAAAUCAGAAUGUAGAAAACAAAAAGAUGAUAUCAAUUCAGGAGCGCAAAAAGAAAAGAGCAAAAAAACCUACAACAUGGAUUUAUGAAUUCAGAAAUGCAGAAAACAAAAUGAUGAUAUCAAUACACAACAAUAACGUAGACUAGUAUUUAAUAUUAUUGAGAAUACAGUACUGACGUCACAAAGGAAAGUUCGAAAAAACGAUGAUAGCGCCUUUCCCAACCUAGAUGCUAAGUUGACUAAAUGAAAGCAAGCCACAAAUAUGGAACACAAAAGCAACCUAAAUAACUAGAGUCAACUAAAUUUGGAUACGCAUGCAUACAUCCUUCCACUAGAACUAACACUAAUGCAUCCAUCCACUAAAACUAAUGUGCAUUCAGGCAGCAGCAACGCUUGCACCAACACCACCUCCAGCAGCACCAUCCCCUCCUGAUCCACCAGAAAAACUAGCACCAGAGCAAUCAUAAUCAGGCUUGGAAAGAUCAACUUCAUCUUCUUCAUCAUUGACAUCUUCAUCUUGUCCUGCUUCAGGUGUAAUGAUGAUGUUUCUCUGAAAGUAGCCAUCCCAAUCAGGAACGCACUGCUCAAUCCUAGAAACUCGACGAACAGUCAUCAGAGCUUCAGGACCAGACCGAAUGUCAUUACCAGCUACAAUCAGCACAUUGAAAGCAUCCUUGAAAGAAACUAGCACCGUGUCCUUGACGUAGUGGUCAGCAAUAGUGAAAUUCCUAUGACCCAGCAUAUCAAACAGAGCAUGUCCAACGCAGAAACCAGCAGAGUGAGUGUUGCUGGUUACUAUGCAGUACACUACUCUGUCAGUGUCUCCAAAAGGAAUAUUGAGCUGAGCCCUUGUGACAGCAGAAAUCUUCAUUGUGUUGCGACUGAAAUCCUUUAAAUUUGAAAUUGCAUUCAAAAAAUAAGGUAUUUGAAGAAAAAAAUUGCAUUGCAAUGGAGAAAUGAACAACUACUAUAUUAAAUCACAGAAUGACAUGAAACACAAAAAUCAUGCAACAAAAAGACAGUAGUUGACUGUAGAAAAUAGAGUACUCAAAUAAAAAAAUGAAGCAGAACCAACAGUUUCAUGAUUACAGACUACUAUGAGAAAACCAUCGUACAAACAGAGUGAGCAUUAAAAGUUGCAUUAUCACCAGGACAAAAAAUAAGUGUACUUGUAGAAAUAUACCUUGGAGAUAACCAUCUUUUUCGAAGCAGAAGAAUCCUUAGCUUCAAAUUUGCGCUUGGAAACACAUGAUCCACCUGGCACCGGGACCUAAAAAGAAAGCAAUUAAAGUACAAGAAAAUGCAAAACACCACCCCUAGAACAGAGACAAAUUAAAUUUUUCGCAUAGGGUCUAAAAUAUGCAUACUCAUAAAACUUAGCUUGCAGAUGCAGUUCAGUAGCGACACAAAAACAACCAUACUAUAUUUUGCAUUUUCAGGAAACUAAAUUCGCAAACAGAUAUUCACAUAGAUAUUUGGCUUUUGAACAUGUAGUUUGUACAGCAAACAAUGUAGUUUUGAAAAACCUAAAAAGUUGCAAAAACCUAAAACUUGUAUACCCAUAUUCAGAAAACUAAAAAGUAUAUAAAAGUGAUAGAGAGGCUAAAUUUGUAUUGACAGAACACUAAAAAAUAUCAGUAGCUGUAUAAGAGCGACACAUUGUACAAAAAAAUUAGGUACAAGAUAAGUCAGGACUCACCCAAAUAAGUUCAGUUAGAUUUGCAAAAACCCGCUUGCGAUCUAAAUUUGAACAUUCAAAUAUCUAAAAAUGCAUUUGUUGUUCAAAUAGCAACGUUAUUACUGAAUUUAUUGGUACAUAGAACUAUAGUUGCACUACUUAUUGAGGAGCAAAAUCAAUAAAAGAAGCAAACAUGAGACAUAAAACAGGAUCAACCUCACUAAAAACAUUGCAUGAGUUAAACAAUUUCUGGAGCAAAAAUAUAUUAUGAUUUUGUACCUCUUUCUUGGAUCCACCAGCAACAUUCUUAGAGGCACUGACACCCUUCUUGGAAAUAUCUUCAUGAGCCACCUAGUGAAAAUGGGAAGCAAAAUAUGUAAGAGGACAAAUCAACAACUCAUAAAAAAGCAAAAUUUUAAUGACAACUAAACUUGCAUACACUACAAGCACCUCAUUGCUAGGUUAUCUUGACUUUUUUUGUAGUGCAAAAACUUAUUAUACUACAAAGAUAGAAUAGAAAACCCGCCUAAAUGCAGAAAAUUAAAACAGGCAUACAUUGACUGAAUUUGGAUCUUCACAAAACUAAAAUUGCAGUUUCUGGUGAUGAGCAAAAAUAUAGUACAAGAGAUGCUUGCAUUGUAAACCUAACACCAAGUGAGAAAAUAUAACUUGCAACUUUAAUCUGGACUACAGUUUCACAAACAUGGAGCAUCUUAACUUGUUUGUAGUGCAAAAAAUAUUAUUAGAAUACAAGAUAGAAGAGAAAACUCCCCCUGAUAGCAUAGAAUUAAAACAGAUAUACAAAAGCAACUAAAAUUGCAUCUUGACAAAACUAAAAUUGCAGUUGUUGUUGAGAAGCAAGAUAUAAUACGACCUUUUCCUUGCUGGCAUCAGCAACCUUCCUACCCUUCUUGGAAGCAUCCUCUCGACCCAUCUAAAAUGAAUGAAAAAUUAUAUGAGAGGACAUUUUAACAACUUGGAUAAACAAAAAAUCAAUAAAAAGUUAAACUGGAAGCACUACAAGUCAAUCUUGCACACUAAUUUGUACUAAAAUAAAACUCAAGUUGCACUCUUUCUUACAAGUAUGUUAUCUUGUUUGCACAGAAAUCAAAGACAUGCAUAGUUGUGGUGCUAUCUUUGAACAAUGAAAUUGAAAAAAAAAUCCGAAGAGGUAGAAGGUAACAAUUGAUAAAAAUUUAAUUGCAACCUAACACCAAAGAAAACAUGCAUUCCCAUCAAACUAAACUUCUGUAAAAACUUGUAUGUGCAAUGAGUACUGUUAGCAUACAUUUUUCUCCUGCAACUUCAACCCACUUCAAGACCUUGCAGCAAUGAUUCUGAAGAAAAUGAGGAACUAGAUAGAUGAGAAUAAAAGCAAAAAGGAAGAUGAAGUACAAGAACUGACGGAGCACGGGAUAUACAAAAGCCCUACCUUCAACAGAACGGAUCCUGAGAUGAAGGGAAAGCAAUUUCACAGAGACACAAAGCACAAGAGCAUAUAGAUGGCAUUUAUAUAGGGGAUGGCAAUGGGAGAGUAAAGACUGAGCGCAAGAAGGCCGCAGAGGAAUAGCGGUAAUGGGGGAGUGGGGUAGUGGGUGCAGUUGCUAGUCGGUUCCUUGGAGAACGUGGGAGAAGUGGGUAUAGUGGGUUGCUACGAGGUUGGGGUGCUUAGGUUGCAUGCAACACACAUGGCAUUUCAGGGAAAAGGGAAAACAAAAUGAUUUGUCUGAAAAGAAAACAAAAGCUAUAACAAAUGAGGUGUUGAGCUGUUAAAUUGCAUGCUAGUUGACACAGUGCACUUUCACACUGGAGUGGUGUGUUGUGGCAAAGAUAUGAGGUGUCAACGUGUCAACUAGCAUGAAACACACAUGGCAAUCAAGAGGCAAAAAGACAUAACAAUUCCUUGACGCAAAGAAUGAAAGAACUUGUGCUAAAUAAAAAACGGUAGUUUGUACUUAAAAAAAUUUAAAAGGGAAGAACUGGUGAAAAAUGCAAAAAAAGAAACAAAGAUUUGAUAUAAGAAAGAUAGGUGUAUGUAGGAUCACAAGACAGUUACUGUUGUUUGUUCAAUAUGAUAAUCAAACAACGUAACAUGAUCCAUUGAAAGACGAAAAAAGAAUAGAUAACAAGAAAGUUAUCUAUGAAAAAGGAACUCAAUGAAGAAUCUUCAAAAAUGAAUUUUACAUCCAAGCAUCUUACAAAUAUAACAUCACCACAAUUGACAUGCAGACAUAUCAAAAGCAUUGUACACUUUAGUAAGCGCCACCAGAAAAAUCCACUUGUACAUUGCAGAUUACAUUUCGAAUUAUUCCUAAGAAAAUUCAUAUACAAAUUCAUCAUCUUUAUUACAUGUCUGUAGCUACAAAGCAAGAAAAUGCCUAUGGAUCUUGCAACACCAUUUCGCUUGACUCAAAGCAAACUCCACCACAGCUAUCAUACGUCCAUUUUGCAUCAUGCUUUGAUAUUGAUAUUUAUUGCAUUAUGGGCUGUUAUUACACAUUAUGUCACAAUACGUAUGCCUUUUCUCUCUUAUUUUACAAGGUUUGCAUGAAGAGGAAGAAUGCCGGCAGCUGGAAUUCUAGGCUGGAAAAGGAGCAAAUAUUAGAGACCUAUUCUGCACAACUCCAAAAGUCCUGAAACUCCACGGAAGUUAUUUUUGGAAUUUAUAAAAAAUACUGAGCGAAGAAAAUACCAGAGGGAGGCCCACACCCUGGCCACGAGGGUGGGGAGCGCGCGCCCCUGCCUCGUGGGCCCCCUGGCAGGCCUCCGGUGUCCAUCUUCUACUAUAUGAAGUCUUUUACCCUGGAAAAAAUCAUAAGCAAGCUUGCGGGACAAAACUCCGCCACUACGAGGCGGAACCUUGGCGGAACCAAUCUAGGGCUCUAGCGAAGCUGUUCUGCCGGGGAAACAUCCCUCCGGGAGGGGGAAAUCAUCGCCAUCGUCAUUACCAACGAUCCUCUCGUCGGGAGGGGGUCAAUCUCCAUCAACAUCUUCACCAGCACCAUCUCCUCUCAAACCCUAGUUCAUCUCUUGUAUCCAAUCUUUGUCCCAAAGCCUCAGAUUGGUACCUGUGGGUUGCUAGUAGUGUUGAUUACUCCUUGUAGUUGAUGCUAGUUGGUUUAUUCGGUGGAAGAUUAUAUGUUCAGAUCCUUAAUGCAUAUUAAUACCCCUCUGAUUAUGAACAUGAAUAUGAUUUGUGAGUAGUUACGUUUGUUCAUGAGGACAUGGGAGAAGUCUUACUAUUAGUAGUCAUGUGAAUUUGGUAUUCGUUCGAUAUUUUGAUGAGAUGUAUGUUGUCUCUCCUCUAGUGGUGUCAUGUGAACAUCGACUACAUGACACUUCACCAUUGUUUGGGCCUAGGGGAAGGCAUUGGGAAGUAAUAAGUAGAUGAUGGGUUGCUAGAGUGACAGAAGCUUAAACCCCAAUUUAUGUGUUGCUUCGUAAGGGACUGAUUUGGAUCCAUAUGUUUCAUGCUAUGGGUAGGUUUACCUUAAUACUUCUUUUGUAGUUGCGGAUGCUUGCAAUAAGAGUUAAUCAUAAGUGGGAUGCUUGUCCAAGUAAGGACAGUGCCCAACCACCGGUCCACCCACAUAUCAAAUUAUCAAAGUACCGAACGAGAAUCAUAUGAGCGUGAUGAAAACUAGCUUGACGAUAAUUCUCAUGUGUCCUCGGGAGUGUUUUCCUUCAUAUAAGAAUUUGUCCAGGCUUUUCCUUUGCUAUAAAAAGGAUUGGGCCAUCUUUCUGCACCUUAUUUACUUUUGUUACUUGUUGCUCGUUACCAAUUACCUUAUCACAAAACUAUCUGUUACCGAUAAUUUCAGUGCUUGCAGAGAAGACCUUACUGAAAACCACUUGUCAUUUCCUUCUGCUCCUCGUUGGGUUCGACACUCUUACUUAUCGAAAGGACUAUGAUAGAUCCCCUACACUUAUGGGUCAUCAAGACUCUUUUUUGGCGCCGUUGCCGGGGAGUGAAGCGCCUUUGGUAAGUAGAAAUUGGUAAGGAAAAAUUUAUAUAGUGUGCUGAAAUUUACUGUCACUUGUUACUAUGGAAAGUAAUCCUUUGAGGGGCUUGUUCAGGGUAUCUUCACCCCAUCUAGUAGAGCAAAGAGUUGCUCCUCAACCUACUGAACCUACUAAAAAUGUUUACUUUGAAAUUCCUUCGGGUAUGAUAGAGAAACUGCUAGCUAAUCCCUUUACAAGAGAUGGAACAUUGCAUCCCCAUUUACACCUAAUCUAUGUGGAUGAAGUUUGUGGAUUAUUUAAGCUUGCAGGUAUGCCCGAUGAUGUUAUCAAGAAGAAGGUCUUUCCUUUAUCUUUGAAGGGAGAGGCAUUGACAUGGUAUAGGCUAUGUGAUGAUACAGGAUCAUGGAACUACAAACGAUUGAAAUUGGAAUUUCAUCAGAAGUUUUAUCCAAUGCAUCUUGUUCAUCAUGAUCAUAAUUAUAUAUAUAAUUUUUGGCCUCGCGAAGGAGAAAGCAUCGCUCAAGCUUGGGGGAGGCUUAAGUCAAUGUUAUAUUCAUGCCCCGAUCAUGAGCUCUCAAGAGAAAUAAUUAUUCAAAAAAUUUAUGCUCGGAUUUCUGACAACAAUCGCUCCAUGCUCGAUACUUCUUGUACUGGUUCUUUUAUGAUGAAGACUAUUGAAUUCAGAUGGGAUUUAUUGGAAAGAAUUAAAUGCAACUCUGAAGAUUGGGAUCUCGGCGAAGGGAGUCAAGUUUGAUUGUGUUAAAUCUUUUAUGGAUACUGAUGUUUUCCGUAAGUUUAGCACUAAAUAUGGACUUGACUCUGAGAUAGUAGCUUCUUUCUGUGAAUCAUUUGCUACUCAUGUUGAUCUCCCUAAGGAGAAGUGGUUUAAAUAUCAUCCUCCCAUAGAAGUAAAAGUAGUUGAACCUAUUAAAGUUGAAGAAAAGACUAUCACUUAUAAUGAUCCUAUUGUUCCUACUACUUAUGUUGAAAAACCACCUUUCCUUGUUAGAAUAAAGGAUCAUGCUAAAGCUUCAACUAUUGUCAACAAAAGUAAUAUUAGGACACCUAAACCCCGUGAGCAAAUUAAAGUUGAACCUAAUAUUGCUAUGGUUAAAGAUCUCUUGGCUGAUAAUAUUGAUGGGCAUGUUAUUUACUUCUGUGAUGAAGCUGCUAGAAUUGCUAAACCUGGUGCUAAAGAUAAACAUAGACCUAUUGUAGGCAUGCCUGUUAUUUCUGUUAAAAUAGGAGAUCAUUGUUAUCAUGGCUUAUGUGAUAUGGGUGCUAGUGCUAGUGCAAUACCUCAUUCUUUAUACGAAGAAAUUAUGCAUGAUAUUGCGCCCGCUGAGUUAGAAGAUAUUGAUGUUACAAUUAAGCUUGCCAAUAGAGAUAAUAUAUCACCGAUUGGGAUUGUUAGAGAUGUUGAAGUCUUGUGUGGGAAGGUUAAAUAUCCUGUUGAUUUCCUUGUUCUUGGUUCCCCACAAGAUAGCUUUUGUCCCAUUAUAUUUGGUAGACCCUUCUUGAACACUGUUAAUGCUAGGAUAGACUGCGAAAAGGAUAUUGUUACUAUUGGUCUGGGUGAUAUGUCUCAUGAGUUUAACUUUGCUAAAUUUCGUAGACAACCCCGUGACGAGGAAUUUCCUUGUAAAGAUGAAAUUAUUGGUCUUGCUUCUAUUGUCGUGCCUCCUAAUGAUCCUUUAGAACAAUAUUUGCUUGAUCAUGAAAAUGAUAUGUUUAUGAAUGAAAGAAGAGAAAUAGAUGAGGUAUUCUUUAAACAUGGUCCUAUUUUGAAGCACAGCUUGCCUGUUGAAAUCCUAGGGGAUCCUCCUCCACCCAAGGGUGAUCCCGUGUUUGAGCUUAAACCAUUACCUGAUACUCUUAAAUAUGCUUAUCUUGAUGAAAAGAAGAUAUAUCCUGUUAUUAUUAGUGCUAACCUUUCAGAGAAGGAGGAAGAGAAAUUAUUGAAAACUUUGAAGAAGCACCGAGCUGCUAUUGGAUAUAAUCUUGAUGAUCUUAAGGGCAUUAGUCCCACUCUAUGUCAACCCAAAAUAAAUUUGGAGAAAGACGCCAAACCAGUUAUUGGUCACCAAUGACGGCUAAAUCCUAAGAUGAAAGAGGUGGUAAGAAAGGAAAUAUUGAAGCUCCUUGAGGCACGUAUAAUUUAUCCCGUUGCUGAUAGUCAGUGGGUAAGUCAUGUCCAUUAUGUCCCUAAGAAGGGAGGUAUCACUGUUUUUCCUAAUGAUAAAGAUGAAUUGAUCCCACAAAGAAUUGUUACAGGUUAUAGAAUGGUAAUUGAUUUCCGCAAGUUAAAUAAAGCUACUAAAAAGGAUCAUUACCCUUUACCUUUUAUUGAUCAAAUGCUAGAAAGAUUAUCCAAACAUACACAUUUUUGAUUUCUAGAUGGCUAUUCUGGUUUCUCUCAAAUACAUGUGUCAGCUGAGGAUCAAGAAAAGACCACUUUUACUUGCCCUUUACGAAAGUUUUGCUUAUAAACGCAUGCCUUUUGGUUUAUGUAAAGCACCUGCUACCUUUCAAAGAUGCAUGAUGGCUAUAUUAUCUGACUUUUAUGAAAAGAUUUGUGAGGUUUUCAUGGGUGAUUUCUCCGUUUAUGGAUCCUCUUUUGAGGAUUGCUUGAGCAACCUUGAUCGAGUUUUGCAGAGAUGUGAAGAAACUAAUCUUAUCUUGAAUUGGGAGAAAUGCCACUUUAUGGUUAAUGAAGGCAUUGUCUUGGGGCAUAAGAUUUCUGAAAGAGGUAUUGAAGUUGAUAAAGCUAAGGUUGAUGCUAUUGAAAAGAUGAUGUGUCCCAAGGACAUCCAAGGUAUAAGAAGUUUCCUUGGUCAUGACGGUUUCUAUAGGAGGUUCAUUAAGGACUUCUCAAAAAAUUCUCAGCCUCUGAAUAAUCUAUUACAAAAAGAUAUACCUUUUGUCUUUGAUGAUGAUUGUGUAGAAGCAUUUGAAAUACUUAAGAAAGCUUUGAUUUCUGCACCUAUCGUUCAGCCACCUCAUUGGAAUUUGCCUUUUGAAAUUAUGUGUGAUGCUAGUGAUUAUGUUGUAGGUGCUAUUCUAGGGCAAAGAGUUGAUAAGAAAUUAAAUGUUAUCCAAUAUGUUAGUAAAACUCUAGACAGUGCCCAGAGAAGUUAUGCUACUACUGAAAAAGAAUUUUUAGCAGUUGUAUUUGCUUAUGAUAAGUUCAGACCUUAUAUUGUUGAUUCUAAAGUAACUAUUCACACUGACAUGGUGCUAUUAAAUCUCUUAUGAAAAAGAAAGAUGCUAAACCUAGACUUAUUAGAUGGGUUCCCUUGCUACAAGAAUUUGAUUUGCAUAUUAUUGAUAGAAAGGGAGUUGAGAACCCCGUUGCAGAUAACUUGUCUAGGUUAGAGAAUGUUCUUGAUGACCCACUACCUAUUGAUGAUAGCUUUCCUGAUGAACAAUUAGCUAUCAUAAAUGCUUCUCUUACUGCUCCAUGGUAUGCUGAUUAUGCUAAUUACAUUGUUGCUAAAUUUAUACCACCUAGUUUCACAUACCAGCAAAAGAAAAAGUUUUUCUAUGAUUUAAGACAUUACUUCUGGGAUGACCCACACCUUUAUAAAAGAAGAAGUAGAUGGUGUUAUUAGACUUUGUGUACCUGAGCAUGAACAUGAACAGAUCCUGCGCAAGUGUCACUCGGAGGCUUAUGUAGGACACCACGCUGGAGAUAGAACUGCACAUAAGGUAUUGUAAUCCAGUUUUUAUUGGCCUACUCUCUUCAAAGAUGCCCGUAAGUUUGUCUUGUCUUGUGAUGAAUGUCAAAGAAUUGGUAAUAUUAGUAGACGUCAAGAAAUGCCUAUGAAUUAUUCACUUGUUAUUGAACCAUUUGAUGUUUGGGGCUUUGAUUAUAUGGGACCGUUUCCUUCCUCUAAUGGGUACACACAUAUUUUAGUUGUUGUUGAUUACGUUACUAAGUGGGUAGAAGCUAUUCCAACUAGUAGUGCUGAUCAUAACACUUCUAUUAAAAUGCUUAAAGAAGUUAUUUUUCCGAGGUUUGGAGUCCCUAGAUACUUAAUGACUGAUGGUGGUUCACACUUUAUUCAUGGUGCUUUCUGUAAAAUGCUUGCUAAGUACGAUGUUAAUCAUAGAAUUGCAUCCCCAUACCACCCACAGUCUAGUGGUCAAGUAGAAUUGAGUAAUAGAGAGCUUAAAUUGAUUUUGCAAAAGACUGUUAAUAGAUCUAGAAAGAAUUGGUCCAAAAAACUUGAUGAUGCAUUAUGGGCCUAUAGAACUGCAUAUAAAAAUCCUAUGGGUAUGUCUCCAUAUAAAAUGGUUUAUGGAAAAGCAUGUCACUUACCUCUCGAACUUGAACAUAAGGCAUAUUGGGCUAUUAAAGAGCUCAAUUAUGAUUUCAAACUUGCCGGUGAGAAGAGGUUAUUUGAUAUUAGCUCACUUGAUGAAUGGAGAACCCAGGCCUAUGAGAAUGCCAAACUAUUUAAAGAAAAAGUUAAAAGAUGGAAUGACAAAAGGAUACAAAAGCGUGAGUUUAAUGUAGGUGAUUAUGUUUUUCUAUACAACUCUCGUUUAAGAUUUUUUGCAGGAAAACUUCUCUCUAAAUGGGAAGGCCCUUACGUUAUCGAGGAGGUCUAUCGUUCUGGUGCCAUAAAAAUCAACAACUUCGAAGGCACAAAUCCGAAGGUGGUGAACGUUCAAAGUAUCAAGCAUUAUAUCUCAGGUAAUCACAUAAAUGUUGAAACUAAUGUUAUUGAAACCGUAACCCCGGAGGAAUACAUAAGGGACACUUUCCAGAACGUUUCAGACUCUGAAAAAGAAUAGGUAUGUGGUACGGUAAGUAAACCGACUCCAAAACAGUUCUAAUGGUAAUUUUUCUCCAUUUUGGAAUAUUUAAGAAAAUAGGAAAAUAAGAAGCAGUCCGGGAAGGACACGAGGCUUCCACGAGGGUGGAGGGCGCGGCCCCCUGCCUCGUGGGCACCUCGUGUGCUCUCUGGACUCCGUUUUCUUGCACGUUACUUCUUUUGGUCAGUAAAAAUUCAUUAUAUAAUCUCCCGAAGGUUUUGACCACCGUAUCACGCAAUUAUCCUCUGUUUUUGUUUCGAGCUGUUUUCUGCCAGAUUUGUCAAGGCCAGGCAUCAUGUCGUCCCCCUCCUCCAACAAUGGUGACAACGAUGCUUGGCUAAUGAAGAUGGAGCUGAAGAGAGAAGGUCCCGAGGAGAUCAACAAGGAUGAUGGGAUCAAGAAGGCCAUGGAGGAUCAGGCUCUGGCAGCAGAAGAAGAAGACAUCCUUCCACCUCUCUUUACCCCGACUGAGAUUGAAGCUUUCAAGAUGAUUGAGUUAGCUCGUAUACAAAACAAGUAUCUCACACGUGAAAAUAUUUUGUUGAAGGAGCAUAUCGUCUCACUCAAGGGCAUCAUUCGCAAGUUGGAGGAUCUCUUACGCUCGAUGUGCGACUAUCCAUCAUCACCACAAUCUUCUCCACCUUCGAGGAAGGAGACAUGAUCACAUGGGUAUGGGCACUCCCCUUGGCAACUGCCAAGGUUGGGGGAGGUGCCCAGUAUCGUAUCACCAUCACACUCCUAUCUUUACCGUUUUUCUUAGUUCGAUCCUUUUGGUAAUAUCUUGAUCUAGUAGAAUAAAGUUUUAGUAUGAUCUAGUUUUCAGUUUUGCUUUAUGAUCCUUCUAUGUAAUCGAGUCUGUGAGCUAUAUAUAAUAAAGAUUAGUGUUGAGUCAAGGGCUUGAUUAUCUUGCUAUGAUCUUGAGUGAAUAAAAGAAAGAGAAUUAAAUAAAAAGAAAUAAAGAGAUCAUAUUUAUCUUAUGGAAAGUUGUUGAGAGUUGUUGAGAGUUGACAAACAUAGUUUUGAUCAUCAUUGCAAUUAAUAGGAAGUAAUAAAGAAAGAGAGGUUUCACAUAUAAAUAUAAUAUCUUGGACAUCUUUUAUAAUUGUGAGCACUCAUUAAAAUAUGACAUGCUAAAGAGUUGAUGUUGGACAAGGAAGACAACGUAAUGGUUAUGUUUUCUUAUAUCCGAAAUAAAGUAUAUUGUCAUGGAUCAUCCAACAUGUUGAGAUUGCCUUUCCCCCUCAUGCUAGCCAAUUCUUUGCACCAAGUAGAGAUACUACUUGUGCUUCCAAAUACCCUUAAACCCAGUUUUGCCAUGAGAGUCCACCAUAUCUACCUGUGGAUUGAGUAAGAUCCUUCAAGUAAGUUGUCAUUGUGCAGGCAAUAAAAAUUGCUCUCUAAAUAUGUAUGAUUUAUUAGUGUGGGAGAAAAUAAGCUUUAUACGAUCUUGUGAUGUAGAAGCAAUAAAAGCGACGGACUGCAUAAUAAAGGUCUAUAUCACAAGUGGCAAUAUAAAGUGACGUUCUUUCGCAUUAAGAUUUUGUGCAUCCAACAUAAAAGCACAUGACAACCUCUGCUUCGCUCUGCGAAGGGCCUAUCUUUUACUUUUAUUUUCUACCUUAUGCAAGAGUCAUGGUGAUCUUCACCUUUCCUUUUUAUAUUUUAUCCUUUGGCAAGCACAUUGUGUUGGAAAGAUCCUGAUAUAUAUAUCUAAUUGGAUGUAAGUUAGCAUGAACUAUUAUUGUUGACAUUACCCCUGAGGUAAAAGGUUGGGAGGCAACACUAUAAGCCCCUAUCUUUCUCUGUGUCUGAUUAAAACUCCAUAACCAUAAGUAUUGCGUGAGUGUUAGCAAUUGUGAAAGACUAGAUGAUAGUUGAGUAUGUGGACUUACUAAAAAGCUCUUAUAUUGACUCUUUCAUAUGUUAUGAUAAAUUGCAAUUGCUUCAAUGACCGAGAUUAUAGUUUGUUAGUUUUCAAUGGAGUUUCUGAUUCAUACUUGACAUUGUCAAUAGAUUGUUACUUUGUCUUAAGAAUUCAUAUGACAGUAUUCAUAUAUGUUGCUGUUAUAAAAAUGAUCAUGAUGCCCUCAUGUCCGUAUUUUAUUUUAUCGACACCUCUAUCUCUAAACAUGUGGACAUAUUUUUCGAUAUCGGCUUCCGCUUGAGGAGAAGCGAGGUCUAAGCUUGGGGGAGUUGAUACGUCCAUUUUGCAUCAUGCUUUGAUAUUGAUAUUUAUUGCAUUAUGGGCUGUUAUUACACAUUAUGUCUCAAUAAUUAUGCCUUUUCUCUCUUAUUUUACAAGGUUUGCAUGAAGAGGGAGAAUGCCGGCAGUUGGAAUUCUGGGCUGGAAAAGGAGAAAAUAUUAGAGACCUAUUCUGCACAACUCCAAAAGUCCUGAAACUCCACGGAAGUUAUUUUUGGAAUUUAUAAAAAAUACUGAGGGAAGAAAAUACCAGAGAGGGCCCACACCCUGGCCACGAGGGUGGGGGCGCGCCCCUGCCUCGUGGGCCCCCUGGCAGGCCUCCGGUGUUCAUCUUCUACUAUAUGAAGUCUUUUACCCUGGAAAAAAUCAUAAGCAAGCUUGCGGGACAAAACUCCGCCACCACGAGGCGGAACCUUGACGGAACCAAUCUAGGGCUCUAGCGAAGCUGUUCUGCCGGGGAAACAUCCCUCCGGGAGGGGGAAAUCAUCGCCAUCGUCAUUACCAACGAUCCUCUCGUCGGGAGGGGGUCAAUCUCCAUCAACAUCUUCACCAGCACCAUCUCCUCUCAAACCCUAGUUCAUCUCUUGUAUCCAAUCUUUGUCCCAAAGCCUCAGAUUGGUACAUGUGGGUUGCUAGUAGUGUUGAUUACUCCUUGUAGUUGAUGCUAGUUGGUUUAUUCGGUGGAAGAUUAUAUGUUCAGAUCCUUAAUGCAUAUUAAUACCCCUCUGAUUAUGAACAUGAAUAUGAUUUGUGAGUAGUUACGUUUGUUCAUGAGGACAUGGGAGAAGUCUUACUAUUAGUAGUCAUGUGAAUUUGGUAUUCGUUCGAUAUUUUGAUGAGAUGUAUGUUGUCUCUCCUCUAGUGGUGUCAUGAAACAUCGACUACAUGACACUUCACCAUUGUUUGGGCCUAGGGGAAGGCAUUGGGAAGUAAUAAGUAGAUGAUGGGUUGCUAGAGUGACAGAAGCUUAAACCCCAAUUUAUGUGUUGCUUCGUAAGGGGCUGAUUUGGAUCCAUAUGUUUCAUGCUAUGGGUAGGUUUACCUUAAUACUUCUUUUGUAGUUGCGGAUGCUUGCAAUAAGAGUUAAUCAUAAGUGGGAUGCUUGUCCAAGUAAGACAGCGCCCAAGCACCGGUCCACCCACAUAUCAAAUUAUCAAAGUACCGAACGCGAAUCAUAUGAGCGUGAUGAAAACUAGCUUGACGAUAAUUCUCAUGUGUCCUCGGGAGUGUUUUCCUUCAUAUAAGAAUUUGUCCAGGCUUUUCCUUUACUAUAAAAAGGAUUGGGCCAUCUUUCUGCACCUUAUUUACUUUUGUUACUUGUUGCUCGUUACCAAUUACCUUAUCACAAAACUAUCUGUUACCGAUAAUUUCAGUGCUUGCAGAGAAGACCUUACUGAAAACCACUUGUCAUUUCCUUCUGCUCCUCGUUGGGUUCGACACUCUUACUUAUCGAAAGGACUACGAUAGAUCCCCUACACUUGUGAGUCAUUAAGCUACAGCCUUCAUUAUUGCUUCUUCUCCAUUACCAACCUGAAUGAUGCAGAAAGAAUUCCAAUGAACAUUCAAAUAAUGAAGAAAAAUGCAAAAAAAAACUAAACUAUGAUUGAACAACAUAAUCAUUAUAAAAAGAUAAGAAAAAUCUUACUCAUAAGGGUACUAGAACUCAAGAACCAACUUCUUAUGGUCAUUCAGGAUAUUGUGAUUAGUGAACAUCAUUUCAUUUGCCAUUCUAAUUCGGAUGUUUGCAAUAUCUUCAUCCUUCAGAAUAUCAUGCAUCAGUACCCCAGGCUUCCAAUGCUUUAGAAAGAGUGCCGUAUAUAUGCCACAAUCAAACCUACAAAAAUAAAAAACCAAUUGAAACAGAAGAGACAUCAGAGAAAAUAUGCAUUAAUUUGGUAUGAGCAGCAUGGGGAAAAAGUUAAGCAGCAAACUAGAAUUCAUAUGCAAAAGAAAAAAGAAAAACAACUUACUCAUUACUUUGUUUAGGUACAUCGAUAAAGUGCGUGGUCCAAUUUCUCCAGUUCAGAUUUCUUGAGCUCCCAUACAUAUUCCAAACUCUUUUGAAAUUUGGUAUCUGGAGGAAGUACACAGAUACCAAAGGCAAGUCAUAGAACUAACACAAAAAUUGAGUGUAAAAAAGAUGACAACAUCAUCAAAUUAUAGGGGGAAAAAGAGGGGGAAACAGCUAAAUUUACCAGAAUAUUGAACACGUGCUGGUGAAAAUCACUGUCUGCAUCGAAUGCUGAGUCCAGAAUUACAAACAUUUCAUGCUUAAACAAGACAACAAAAUCGAACCAAUGCUUGCUAUGCAAAGUUGGAAAGUGGACCUACAAAAAAGCCAAAAAUAUAGAAUAGUCAUCAAGAUGAAUCAAAAAUACAUUAUAGAAGAAUGUGCAAACCAACUAAACUAGCAUGCUGAAAAUACUAAAAAGUUGUGCAUUCAGAUGCUCAAUGAUGAGAUGAUCACUUCUCUAGGAAAGAAUACAAAAGUAAAGAUCAAUGAGUGCAACAAAAAGGACUGUUUGCACAAUUUUGGUAAAAAAAUACACACAAGAAAAAACAUUUUCAUCAUCAUGGGACUAAGAGUUGCACACUUUAUGAACAGCAAAGAAUCAUCAAAAACUUCUUGAUAUAUUUGGUUCAGUAAAAAAGCAUCGCAAACAAGAAAGAGUUAGAAUUAAAAAUGCACACAUUUUACUGUAUUUACCUCAUCACAUGAAUGGAUUAGUCUAGCACCGUUUGCUAGCUGGAAGCAUCUCUGAACCAUACUGAACUUCUGAUCAUACAAUUCCUGAGUUUCAUAUGAGUCCAUGAAAAGUAGAUGUUCGUUGUGGACAAAACAGUUAGUAAAUUUUCACAAACUAAAACAGUAAUACAAAAUGAAUAAAAAAUAGAAACAUAGAAAAAAUGUAAUUGAACUCACAGAAAUAAGGUGAAAAAAUGGUGAACUUUCGAGUCCUUUGGCUUGGUAUCUAAUGACAACUUGCGACACCAAGCAUUAAUAGUAUACGUGUCAACAAGGCCCUUUGUUGCAAAAGAAGUCCCAAUAGAAAAGUAUGUUACUAUAACUUUACCAUAGUAGAUGCACGUUUUGCUGCAAAACAAAAAAGAUAAGAACAGAGUCAAACUACACGAAAACAAUAACUUGAAAGCGCACUCAAAACACACGUGAAAAAGAACAUGCAUUAAUGAAGGAGCAUUUACUAUUUGUAAUUUUCAUCAAGCGACAGAGUGACAAUAGCAUCAUGUAAUUAAAUCAUUCUCGUGGUAACAGGGUAUCUCAAUGAUUUCUGAUUGACAUAAGGAGAAGCAUUGUAUUUGCUAGGGUUUUAGAAUCCUCUUUGGUCCAUAUCUAGUGACCUCUCUUCCAGAUUUACUAGCAGACUGAGUGUUGAUUUUCUCAUUAUAAAUCAUAUCAGAAAUAGAUAUGAAGUUGUUCAAUCUGUCAUCUUUCAUGACUUCAUAUAAGAUCUCAACAUCAGGAGACUUCGGAGGGCUAGACUGUCCACCAAAAUCUAAAUCAAUCUGACAUAAAAGAAAAAAGAGCAAACAAUAACAAGAAAUCACUACGGAUAGUAUGUAUAUAAAAUUAAACAAACAUAUAAAUAGUUGCUAAAAAAAUAAGAAGUGAGAAUAAAAAUAACAAACCUUAGUGACAGGAACAGCAGGCUGAGAAGUUUCACCUAAAAAAUCAGCGCAAUUUGCAGAAUUUUGACGUGCCCAUUGCCUUGGUGUGCCAUCAGACUUCUACAAAAAAAGAUAUUUAUUAAAAACAAAUAAAUCAAACUAACUAAAGAAAAUAAAUAAGUGAUUUGCAAAAAUUUAAUUUGCUAAAGGUGAGUACAUGAAUCGCAGAAAUACCUGAGUGAAAGAACUAUUUGUCACAGGACUAGACACAGGAGUAAAAGGGAUUGUUUGUAUGUGAAUAGGAGUUUGAUAUUGGGAACCCUGUUUCAAAACAUGAAAAAUAAAAAAUAUUACAUUGAAUACAAAAAUGCAAAAUCUAUAUCCAAUUGGAGACAUAACACAAAGAAGAUAUGAAAAAAGAGGCUUGCAUCAUGAAAAUCUGUAAGCAGGUGCGAUGUUUGCAGCAGUGCACAAAUGAACAAAAAAGUAGGAAAAUAAAAAAGAAUGUAACAAUAAAGUCACCUCAUGACGCAUUUGAAAAUGUCCUUGACUUGAUGCCAUGAUUUGAUCGUUAAAUGAUUUUUGAGAUGAGUUGUCCAAACAUUCACCUGCCAAAAAAAUUCAGCACCUUACAAAUCAUGCAGAAUACAUUUUCAUGAAAUUCAGAAAAAUUGAACUGUGUGUAGAAAAACAGUAACACAACGCCAAAACAAAUACCAUUCAUUGGAGAUUUCAACUUCAGCUUCUCAGGGAAAAAAGAUUUAUUCUUAACACUCAUGACCUUGUUCAGCGUGGUCUGUGUAGAAGUCCCUUUUGAAUUAGUUCGAACUGGAGGAUCUGUAUUCACAAGAUGCUUGAAACUGAUGCUUUUUCCCUUGUCAAUAGAUUCGUUGAUCAGGGUGGACUUUGGUGGAAUAAGCUUUUUCAUUAGUUCAGAAACAGACUCGAGUUGCUUCUCAACUUGACUAAAAUCAAGCUUCCUUCCUUCCUCCUAGAUGCAGAAAAAUAACUUGUCAAAAGCAGCUUGCAUAAAAAUCAAGCUAAUAAAGUUUGAUAAAGAGAAUCUAAAACUAAACCUGAAUGCUGAAAAUACUAAAAUUGCACAUCCAUCAAACUAAACUUGCACACAUUUUACAACAACAAAACUCAUAAUAACUUUGUGUUUUUCGUAAUUUAGUGUUUACUAGAAGUAUGUCACUAGGGGUAGAUACAUCAGGAAGCAAAACUCAAAAAUUAAACACAAUGUUUACUAGAACAACAGCAAGCAAUCAUGAAUGGUAUGAAAAAAGGUUUACUAGAACAUGGAUACAUUAAAACUGCUAAAAAGGCAUUUUUCUUAGAAAGAUUAUAGGAAAAGCUAAGUCAAAUCAGAAUAAAAAGUACAACAACAAAAACUAAUACAUAAAACUUGAAUGCUUAAAAAUACUAGACUUGCACACACUUUAUAACAAGGUGAUACGAUAUAGAAUCAUAUAAUAAACUUGCAUACUCAAAAUACUAAACUUGCACUUUCUUCAUUCUAAAAGUUGCGCAUAUUUUACAACAGCAAGUCUGUAAUGAAAGCAUUUAACAUCAAGAACAGAACUAUUAAAACACAUACAGAUGCACCGGAAUUGCAUGAAUUACAUAAAUAUAGAUUGCUCAGCAAACUCUACGUAAAGGGCAAAAGCUAAAGUACACACACUAGAAGUAAAACUUGCACGAGAAGUUAAAAUGCAUAAAUAUAAACUUGCACUGGUUGUACUGCUAGUUGUUAAACUACAAGCAAGGGCAGAACACCUCCCUAACUGCAGAAUUUAAGUAUUCCACAUAGGAUCUACAUUGGCCUACUCGGAUAACUAAGCUUGCAGUCCUCAAAUUCAAUUUAUAUAUCUAAGUAAAAUUCAAUUUAUAACUCACAAUUAGAACUUUAUCUACACAAUCAGGCCUUUGCAUCUUAUGAGGUCUUGGAUUAACACAGAACGUAUCUUGUCCAUUAACUGAGAAACAGCUUUCCUUUUGCUCCCUAAACUUGUACCUAAUGACAUAGGAAAAAAUAAGGAAGAAAAACCAGCAGGUAUAUAUUUCUGAUUAAACCAAAAAUUGCUCGAAAUGAAGAUGAUGAAAUUCUUCACAAAACAAAAGGACACCUGCAGUAUCAUGGAAAUCCACAUUUGCAUUGGAAACAUUUGAAGAACGUUGAACAAGUGGAGAUACAUUAGAAUUGGAAGUACGAUCAUUGCAUCCUAAAUAUAAAAAAUACACAAACAUCGAAUCAGGAUGGAAAAAGAGUAAACAUACAUUUUCAUUAAAUGAAUCUGAAAACUCAAAAAUUGAAGCACUGAGUACGUAGAACAUUACCAUGGCUCCUGAGCACAGAUUUAUCACUGUUUGCCAUGCUAUUGCUUAUAUUUCUUCUUGAAUUCGUGUCAGAUUGAUUUGGCUCAACGUCUGAAGCACUAGCUAAUACAAUGCAAUUCAGCGAAUCUAGAAGCAUAUUCUGAGCUCCUUUGAUAGACUUUUCAUCAGCAGUUUGACGAAAACGCCUAGCUAGCAAAGAUAAUUGGUCUUUAACCUGAACGUAAAAUGAACAAAACACUAUGAAAACAUUGAAUUCACUUGCAUAAAACGAAAAAACGGAUAAAUGAUAAAAAAUUCAAAAUUUGUGACAAGAACAAAAAUAUGUACCGAGGAAGGUAGUAAACCACCAACAGUUUUGUCAAGUGCAGAUCUAAACUUCACAGAUUCAUGUGUAGAAUCUUGAUGUAAAUGACAACAACCAAUGCAACCCAUGGAAUAGACUGUUUGAGAUAUCAACUUCACCUGUUAAUGAACAGAAUUAAAAAAAUCAGUACUCCUCAGAAAAAACAUUAGAAAGAAACUUAAAAACAGAUAAAAAAUUAAAUAAAAAGAAAUAGAAAACAUACAGGACGUAAGCCAUAUUCCCUUGGACCUUUGCAAUCCAAAUUCGCAAACUCUUUCACUAGUGAAUUUUUCCAGGCUUUUACUCUUGGAAUUCCAGGAGGCACUCAGCGUAACCCAAAAUCCAGAAAAUCUAAGUAAUAGCACUACAUAGAAAAUAGCACGACAUUAAGAAAUAACAUUACAAACUCAAAUCACGAAAAACACCUUCUAGUAAAAAAGAACAACAACAUAAAAAAUAACUUACACAAAGCCCAUAAAUGCAGCCACCCAGUGUAGUUAAUUCGUCCUCUUUUGUAGGUUUCUUUGGCUCUUUUUGAUAUUUCCUUAUGUAUGACAUAAGCCAAUCAAAAACAAACUUUGAUAAAUCAUAGUUAGUAACUUGAGUUGGAUCAAUAAGAAUUCCUAGGUAUUUUUUUUUUUUGGGGGUAGAUAUUUGAGUUGGGGCACAGAACGGUUGCAAAGGCAACUAGAAGAAAACAUCUCAUAAAAUCAAUGUCAGAUAUAUCAGGCUUAAGCAUUCUCAACCCAAACCACUUGAUAGAAGGCACUGUAGGUUCACCAAUAAUAUUGAGGAAAGUUGCUUUUGCAACCUCACUGUGAAAUAAAACUGAGGUGCCACCUAAUGGAAGACCAAGCAGUAGAUGAAAUGAUUCAGGGCUCAUUGGAGUGACUUUACUGUCGAGAACUAUGUCACCAGCAGGUGGAUUUACUUUCCCUGCUAUCCAUUGUGCAAAACCUCUUGGUACUGAAUUGCACUCAAAAUCAAGAAUAAAAGAGCAACCAUAAUUUUUUAUGACAUCUAAUCUUGAUGGUGGAAUUUUCUUGAGCAGAUCACUGAAAUAGCCAUGAUUACACCUGCUCGUUGCCUUCUUUGUAGGAAGUGGGGCACGCUGACCAAAAAAAUAAAAAAAACUCAAAAACAACAACUAAAAACAUAGCGUCAAUAUGAAACUAAAAACAUAGAUUAAUCGGCAUAAUUGUUAUUGACUCAGAAUCUAUAUAAUGUUUACUGUCCAAAAGAUUAGAGAACUGUUGUUCGCACUAAGUAUGUGGGAAAAAAAUAGAUGUGUUUCAUUUGAUACAAGCAAAACAAAAACAAAACAAAACUACUUGAGUACAAUCGGUAUCCUUGGGACACUGAUGAACUUGAUUCGACUCUAAUGUAAAAAGUUGGCAAACAUUUGCAACACUCUCAAAUUACAUUUAGUGUCAGACUCCUAAUCAAAAAGUGUUGAGCGAAAAAAAAACAUUUGCAUUAUUUAUUAAUCAUCAACAUCACAUGGCACAUGUAAAAAACAAAAUGACUGUAAUUUAUCAAAAUUAAUGACUGAAAAUACAACGCAUAAGGGGAAUAUCUGUUGGGACACCUGUAAUUUUAAAAGCUGAAGUGUGGAAAACCUAAAAAGCCUGACCUGUCAUGCACACUCACAUAAGACCUAUUGCAUCUAAGAAUGGUUCUAAGCAAAAGGAAAAAAUUUGCAAAACAGCAAAUAAAAUCAUCAUAUUUAGUUACUAACUACCAAAAAGACUCUAUCAACAUGAACACGGAUAAAAUGAUUGAACAUAUUCUACAACACAGAAAACUAUGAAAGCUUGUAUACUCAUAUAUAUAGUACUAAAAAAGGCAGAAUGAUGAGCUAAAAUGACAGUAAAUAUGAAUAAAUCAAAAUGUAUAUUCAUAUAAAUGGAGGAAAAAGUUGCUAUGAGAAAGACUUACGCAGAGAUUCUUAGAAGAAUUGGCAUUGUCAUUUGAUGAGUAAAACUGUUAGGAAUCACAAAAGCAAAAGGUAUUAGUAAGUUAUGAAAACACAAAACAAAAAUCAAAAGUACUAAAAAACAAGUUUAACUUAGAAAUAUGAAAAUUCUGCAUAUUCAAAAUUACCAAGAUCUAUAUACACAUAAUAUACAAACUCAAAGUUAUAACAAGGAAAUUACCAAAUUUCGCAAGUUGUUCAGGAAAUUUUUGACAUCAAACUGUGGGUCUCCACCACCUACCUGGAAACCAGUAGAAAAGAUUUUUGGUUAUGCCACUUUCACAAGAAAUGACAUCACUAGAAACUGUGAACCUUCUAGUCGAAAACAUAAACAUUUAGAACAAUGAGAACAUACAUCAAGAAACUGAGUUUGUCCUUCUUUAAACUGGCUUUGCGAAGCAAAGGUUUCAUCUAGAUCAUCGUCGCAGUACAUCCCUUUGUUGUCUUCCGAAUCAUUGGUGUCACUAGCCAUUUUCUGCAUACACAAAAAAAACAUUGGCUUAGAAAAUAUUGUAACAACUAAAUGAUCUCAAACAAUAAGCAUAGAAGGAAAAACAGGUACUUGUAUUAGAAUACAGUAAUUUAGAGGACUGAAAUCAUCAGUAGACAAAAUGAAACUCAUGAAGACAAAACCAUAGAGGUUGCAUCUGGAAAAAAACACCCACAUGAACUCAAGUUUAGCUAUGAUAUUUGAGGUCAAAUUAAUGACUAAUUGCAACUACAAAAUAGCAGGCAUUAGACAUGAACAGAAGCACACACGUCCUUCAUAUCAAUGCAUCUGACAUCACAUAUAAAAAGCAUGACUAUGAUCUUAGUAGCCCUGUGCAAACCAAAUCUAAGCAGCUAAACAAUCUGACAUGACACAUGAAAAACUGACAGUACAGCAAUGAAAACAUUGCACAUGCCUGAUAGAAACAACAUCUCCUCUGAGUUCAUUAAGCACAGGGCAAAUCCACACCAACAAAAUUUGGAAGCUACUGGUUGAAACUAUGGAUUUCAAGCUGUAUUCUAUAGAGACGCAACUAAAAACACCAGGCAUUAGAUUUCAAAGUGGGCUGCACUCAGGCCACCAAGUGAAACAAAAUUGAAAUUCAGAAACAAUUGCGCAUCUAAACAGCAGCGCAAUUCAGGAGCACCUGCGAGAACCACGCUAAACAUCUCAAUCUAACAGAUCACGCUAAACAUCUCAAUCUAACAGAUCACGUAGUCAAUCAUGCAAUCCUAGGGUUUGGAGAAAGGGAUCCGGAAAUUCAACACGAGGGGAAAAGGCAUACGGGGAGAAUGAACCUGAGAUAGAUGCAGAAGGAGGCGCGCUCUCAGAUGGUGUGAGCAGAGCACCAAUUUGCCGGAGCACUGGCGCAGCAACGGUGGUCACGUCGCCGGAGAGGAAGGAGAGGAGAGGACAACGCGCCCGAGGAGAGGAGCACCCCCACAGAAAGGGAACGGACUUCUGAUUUUUGAAAUAAUGAUGAUGUCACCACUCACGCAAGUCAUCCGUUGCGCAACUCAUCAGUCACGGAAGGCCCAGUCAUGCACGCUCAGAAAAGAAGAACAAACUUAAAAGAAAAAAAGAACGAAUCUCAAAGCACUGAAUAAACGGCCUGCUUUCAAAACUGAUGCAACGAGACUCUUUGGCUAAUGAUUUUCACAUAUGGAAAAUGCACGAAUCACACAGCAUCAAUGAUAUUCACAUAUAGGAAAAACCAUAGAUGCUUCAGAAAACAUUCACAUAAAAAUAAAAUAGGGAAAAAAGAUAAAACUUAAGAAAUUUUGAAGCAUUAGUUCCAUUAGGCAAAACCAUUUUUAAACACUUUUAAAAACAUUUGAGAUGAUGAAACACUCAACACACAUUUAACUUUAGAAAAAACGAAUGAAAAAAUGUACAGAAGUAAAUUUAGUGAUACUGGUGAACAGAAAUCAAUAUGACACCAAAGAGAAAAAAUAAAACUAUAUGAUCGGCAAGGAAAAAUGUCAAUCAUAUUAAAGUAGACUCAUCAGGGGUAAAAAAUCAUUUCAUAGAUAAAAAGGAAAAAAAUCAAACAAUUUAUCAGGUGACUUUGAACCAACAAUUGAUAUGAUCUAUGAAAUGAAAAGAUCAAUCAAAGAAUUUGUUGAUCACCCAGGAAAAAAAUGAAAAAUUCAAACUCACAAAACAAACUACAAAAAGAUAUAAAUAAAUUCAAAAAUAUCAAACAGAAAAGAUUACAGCAAACACACACAACCACAAAAAUAACAUUAAAACAUUCGCAAAAGUAUGAUAACCGUUGAAUCAUAAGACAUAGUUCAGAUAGCACGAACGAUAAGCAUACUUUUCUUCAGACCUCAACUUAAACUACAGGUUAACCACCCAAACUUUUCAUCAGUAUUCAACUUAACUACGGAUAGCUUAAAGUAUCUACUACAUACAUCCAAAAGGUAACACAAUCCAACAUAUAAGCCACCACAAAGUUAUAGCCUGCAAACGAAAGAACCGAGUACAGCCACUUCUUUCCCAAAAUAAACUUGUAUCAUUGUUUUCAUCUAGAGAAGCCACUGGAAGACAAUUGAAAUUGAACAGUCAUAAGUUGACUCAUUGAAGGUGAUGAGCACAACAUUGUCAUUUGCAUAUGAAGUGGCUGAGAUGAACUCGCUGAAACUGGUCUUCUCGAUCACCAUCCUCCCAUGUUGCUUGCACAGCUUGAAAGAUGAUGGCAUGAUAACAUGUGUAUCACCCAGGUAAGCUUCCAGAGAGAUUCUAGCACUGAUUGGCAUGUCAACAAAGUUCCUCAAGCUAAAGACAACGAGCUUUGGAAUUUUCUAACAAUGAAAAUGAAAAAGUAUGGAUCAAAAAUUGCUACCCCAGAAAAAUCUUCAUCAAGACUAAACUUGCAUGAACAAAUCAUUUAGCACAACAAAAAUGUAAACAAAUAAAGAAAAAAUAGAAUGAAGCAGUAAAGUACAAAACUUACCAUGGUGAACUUCUCAGUAUUUGUGGCAGUCAUGACAUGCACGAACGGAACGCAGUGCACGAAGCUUGAAGUCCGGAAAAUUGACCGUACAAACAAGCGGUUGUUGUGAUAGUUGAACUCCAAGCCGCGUGGCAUCACAGCAGAGCAAACUAGCUCGUACCUUGCAUUGCUGAGGUUUUC